rnacentral:lncRNA from 1 species
UUUCUUAAUGUCGUUGGAUUUGUCUCGUCGAGAUUUUUUCAAUGAUACCAAUGAUGUCAUUAUCGGAGUUUCGAUGUGUAUUCAGAGUCUUUUUUUUGUUUCUUUAUUUUUUUUUCUCCUCUCUCCUCCUUGUAAUUUGUGAAGAAAGAAGAGAGAAAAAAGUAAAAAGAUAAAUAAAAAGAUCCUGAAGGCACACCGAAGCUCCGGUGACGAUACCUUUAGUACCGUUGAAAAGAUCUCGACGAGACAAAUCCAACGACAUCAAGGAAGGUCAUGAACGGUGACUGGAGUGUGCCACAUUAGUCAUUCAAAGACAAAUGAGCCCUAACAUAUUUGGACGGCUUGUGUGACCCAAUCCGGUCACCGUUCGUGACCUACCUUAGUGUUAUUGGAUUCGUCUCGUCGAUAUCUUUUUAACGGUACUGGUUGUGUUAUCAUCUAAAAUUUGGUGUGUCUCUGUGAUUUUUUUUCCCUUAUUUUUUUUUUUAUUUUUUUUUUAUUGUAAGUUGUGUCAGUUUAUUAUAAAGAAGAAGAAGAAAAAAAAGGAGGAGGAGGGUACAUGUCAUUUUUCUUCUGUCAAAAUAGUCACACAGACUAUAGUAUUGAUCAUUUAAGCUUAUAAAAUGUAUAUGCAUUUUGAUAAAACCAAAGGGUCUUCGAAAACAAAACAAAAUAACAUACGAUAAAGCACCACUAGUAAUUGAAAUAAACCAAACUUAUUUUCAGUCCGAAAGGCUGGAUAAACUUUAGAUUGACAAUUUCAAUUUAAAUUGUACUUGCUGGCUAGCUACCGAACAGAAAGCUUUGUACUGUUCUAUCCCAUCAAGCAGCCAGCCACUUGUACCUGUCUAGCUAGCCUAGGACCACAGAGCAUAACACGGCUUUCAGCAGUAUCCCAGUACGAGAAGCAAUCUGUGUUAACCUUUGCUACACGACAUUACAAAGACGAGCGAAAGAGUUGUUUGUGGAUGGGCAAUGUUUUGGGUCGCAUAUCACUUGCUAUAUUAUAUCUGGAGUGCUAGAAUUUUUGUUGCCUUCUUACUUCUUAUCCACAGCAUAUUAGAGGUGGCUAAAUCACUGGUGACUUGUAGAAAAUUCUCAAUAUGUGGAUGCAGCUGUGCCGUUUGCAUGCCAAGUUGCCUCAACAGAAAGUCCGGUGACAAGUAAGGCUAUCGAUGGACCCCCUCUCGCUCUAAUCCCAAAGAUGAUUUCUUAAAAUUCAAGUUGUUUAGAAUUAAGAUUCCGUAGUUGUAUGCUAAUUAGAUUAUAUUUGGUAAAGCGAUAGUGGUUGCUUUUUAAAUAAUUUUUUAUGUUGAAAUGUAUGCCAAUGAUGUUUUUUUUUUAAAAAAAAUCAUUUUUGACAUCAGCACAUCAAAACGAUCCAAAACAUACAAACCAUAUUAAAUUUUAAUAAUUUUUUUUUUUGAAUUUUUUGAGAACGCGAUAGUUUCUAAGUUGAUAAAUUAGUUGUUCUCUCUGUUGAAGAUGUCUCUGGUAGCUUGGAAAACUCAUAUAGCUUAUAGUUGAUGUCUACUAAGUUGAGAUGACCUGUAUCUAUAAUUAUAAAAAAUAUAUUUUGAUAAAUAUGAAAACUCUCAUGUGUAUAAGUUAAUAAUUUUAUAGAGAAAAAAAAUACAAUGAUAUUUGAGAGAGAUAGACGUUUCUGAAAAUAUAUAUAAUAAAAUAUUAACAAUAAAAAGAUUGUGAAUCUUGAACUUGAUGAAUUCAUGAGGUAUUUAAUUAUAGCUCACGAGUCUUGUUAUUUUAUGAAAAAGAGGGAAGAAAAAGUCAUUUCACUCCUAUAAAUAAUAUGAUAUUUUAAAUUGUAUUUUAUUUAAAAUAAUAUAUAUUAAAUUAUUAUAAAAUACCGAGGAACUCAUGCAUGAGCCUUUUAAAAAUUACCAAAAGACUCAUGUGGGGUCUUGAAAAAUUUAUAAAUAAAUGUUGGUCUAAGAUCUAGGAGGUUGAGCUUAAUAUUAUCCUAAAAAAUUAAAAUAACACUGUUUUAGAUUGAUCAAAUUAACUUGUAGUGAUUUAAGCCUAAGUUAUGCUAGGUUUAAUAACUUUGCUGUUUCAAUUUGAUUAAAUCUGGAUUGUAAUAACCCUUUCCGUAAGAGAACCCUGCGUCCAAAAAAAGAAGUCAUUCAACAGAAUCUAUGGCCAGAUAUAUAAUUGCAAAAGGCAAAAUCUAUGCUAAAUUGAUGAUUUCUAAUCUUCCUACAGUAAUGGUGAGAUCAUCUUUGAAGUUGCUUCAGUAUUGCGGGAAAAUUUUACAUCUUUUAUGUUUAAAAAAUAAUUUAAAAAUUUUAAUUUUUUUAUGUUUUAAAUUAAUAAUUUUUUAAUAAUUUUAGAUUAUUUUAAUAAAUUGAUAUUAAAAAUAUAUUUUUAAAAAAAUUAUUAUCUUAAUACGUAACUAAUGCAAUAACUGCACCACCAAUUAAGACCAUUUUUGCCGGUUUGGGAAAAAAACACAGAGAAAAGAAGAAAACGACAACACCAUCUUAUGGAGAUCCAAAUUAAGGAACCAUGCUAUUUCUUGGAUAUGAGCUGGUGCAUCUUUUUAAAGCAAUUGGCAUCACAUGGAAUUAAUCUUUAGUAAUCCAUCUUGCCUGUGUUCUUUAGCUGAUAUUAAUUUCGAGCAAUUGAACAAUGGAAGGAUGCUUGAUUAGCUUUGCUGGUAUCUCUUUUCCUACUAAAUUGUCGGUUGAGCUUCUUCUUCCUACAUCUUGUCCUCGGCUAAUCUCACGCAGGAAGCCGAAGAGAUGGGAAGCUUUCAUUUUUGCCAUGCUUUAACUCCUGGCUCUCCUUGACUUUCUAUAUAGUAUAGAUGGAGUGCUUCCGCUUCCUGGAGGCCAUUCAAAUUAUAUAUUGAUGAGAGAUGAAGUUUGAGUUCUUUUAAAAGUCCAUUCAAUUAGAUAAUGGAAUGUGAAAGUAAAUGGAAAAAAAUAGUAAAUGGAUUUUCCAUGGAGGUAUGUCCUUAAUUUGUAUAUUCUCUGCUACUCAUCAUGCUUAAAGAUUAUCUUCUAUACAUGACUUGGUUUUGCAUGGUUUUUCCUGAUUUGUAUUUUAACGAAAACUAAUCUGGAGUUCUUAGGUGAUGACUUCAAAAGCCAGGAAUCACAUGUAAUUCCUUGUAAUGUUGUUGAUUUCUCCACAGAUGUACGUACAUGAGCCCUGCUAGAGUUGAGAGCAUUAUAUAUGUCAUGUAGUAUUCUUAAAGGCGCGCACCUCUCUUUAAGAACACUGGAAAAUUUAUUUUUUUGGUAAUAGAUUCAUCAACUUUUUUUUUUUUUUUAACUGGCAUAAUUACAUGCAAAUUAGUAGGAAGCGAGCGCCACAUGUGGAGCUGACGUCUUCAAGCUUUGUAUGUCCUUGCUCGGAAUGGGAGUGGUACAGUUACAUUUAAUCUCCUUUUCUCCAACCAUAUGGUAGCCCGGUCCUUCAUUUUUUUCUUCGGCGAUUCCUAGUUCUCUGCGAAUUAUGAUAAACAAUUCCAGUUUCGAGGAAGUUAUUACUCUCGCUGUCCCAUAAAGAAAAUCCUAUUGUACUUUUUACAUAAAUUAUAAUAUAUAUAUAUAUAUAUAUAUAUAUAUAUUAAAUAUGGUGUCAAUUAUAUUUUAAAAUUAAAUAUAAUUAAGAAAUAUAUAAAUUCAAUUAUUAAGAAGGGAUAUAAAGUAACAAAAUUUGAUAUUUAAUUAUUUGACUUUGUGAUAAAGGACAUAUUUUGAAACAUAGUUCAAAAGAUGGAGGGACUAAAAUAUAAGGUACAUCCGAGCUUUCAUUACUCAUUUCUUCUCUCUCUCUCUCUCCCGCUAGCAACAGAGGAGGAAAUAAGUAGAGCUGUUGCCAGUAGCCACUGGAGUAGCUAACCAUUAAAUCUCCCACCAAACUUCGAUUCCCACAUUAAGUUCUCCUCUCUCGAGCCAAUACAGCAAGCCAAUUUCCCUAUACUGUAUUGGCUCGUUUCAAGCUUCUAACACAUUCUGUCAUGGCAUACAUGUGGAUCACAGGGCUAAUUCUCUUCUUAAUACAAAUCCUAAUACUACUAGUUCCUGAAUGUAGCGCAAAAGUUCCAGCCAUCAUAGUGUUCGGGGACUCAUCUGUGGAUUCAGGGAACAACAAUUUUAUUUCCACAAUUGCGAAGAGCAAUUUUGCACCUUACGGCCGUGAUUUUCCAGGGGGUAGUGCCACUGGACGAUUCUGCAAUGGCCGCCUUCCUCCUGACUUCCUCUCUCAGGCUUUUGGCCUCAAGCCAGCUAUACCUGCCUAUUUGGAUCCAAUGUAUAACAUACUAGAUUUGGCUACUGGUGUUUGCUUUGCUUCUGCUGGAAGUGGCUAUGACAAUGCCACUGCUGAUGUGCUAGUAAGUCUUCCAGUUCCAUGACAUUCUUGAUUCUAUGACGUGCUAAUUUCCAUAAGCUCAUAUACCCUUCUUCCUGGCAUUACAAAAUGUCGAUUUUUUUGCUAAAUCUCAUUCUAGAGAAACAUGUAGUUUGUAUAAUUAAUUAAAUUUUUCUUUGGUCAUGCCUCAUUCAUUUAUAGCUAAUGUUCCUUUUAAGUGGUCCCCUAUUGUUGCUGCCAAUGUUGACAUUGCAGGGAGUGAUCCCUUUAUGGCAAGAGCUGGAGAACUACAAGGACUAUCAAAGGAGAAUGAAAGCCUAUCUUGGUGCCAAGAAAGCGAAGGAAAUAAUAACAGAGGCUUUAUAUAUAAUGAGCUUAGGAACAAAUGACUUCUUGGAAAACUACUACACCAUCCCUGGCCGAAGAUCACAAUUCACGAUCCAGCAAUACCAGGAUUUCCUCAUCGGACUUGCUGAGGACUUUGUAAAGAAACUUUAUGCUCUUGGAGCUCGGAAAUUAUCCCUUACAGGGCUUUCUCCAAUGGGGUGUUUGCCACUGGAGAGAGCUACAAAUUUUAUGCAUCCUAACAGCUGUGUGAAGGAAUACAACGAUCUUGCUUUAGAAUUUAAUGGAAAAUUGAAUCAAUUGGUGGCAAAACUGAACGAUGAACUUCCUGGAAUGAAAGUGUUGUUUGCAAAUCCAUACGACUUACUGUUGCAACUCAUCACAGCACCCUCACAGUACGGUAAGUUUGAUUUUUUUUUUGUUGGUUGGUCAGCAUCUGCUAUUCUCUGCCACUGCUAUUGAUGACAUUAAACUAACCAAAAAGAGCUGAUCCCUCAACUGAGUUAAGGAGUAGAUCAGUUAACUACUAACUGUUACAUCAGACAAAAACAAAACAAUGUGAUUUGUAAUUGAGAUUUCGAUCGGUGAUUUCUUCCCUUCCUCUUCCUCCUCAUCCGAUCCGGUGGAACACUAAUCUGUUCAAAGUCAAAUAAUGCUGUGUUUUCAUUGCAGGAUUUGAGAAUGCAGAAGUAGGAUGUUGUGGCUCAGGAACAUUUGAGAUGGGAAUUAUUUGUAAUCGAGACCAUCCACUUACAUGCACAGAUGCCGACAAAUAUGUAUUUUGGGACGCCUUUCAUCUCACUGACAGAACAAAUCAAAUAAUUUCGGCUUAUUUAUUCAAGGAUCUUAAGUCAAAAUUUCUUUGAGUUGCAGAGUGAUUAUUGGUGGUUGUCUGGUUGAAUUUCGGAGAAAAAGGAAGGUAGCUAUAUUCAUGGGUGUUGAAUGAAUACUACGGUGGUAUAUGUAUGGACUCCGGUGUUUAGAGAGAGCAAUGAGUGUGGUUCUGGAUUUACAAAAUUAGAUAUUCAUAGCCUAGAUGGUAUGCAUAUGUGUAUUUUAAGAUGUGUAUAUAUUAUAUUGAAUUACAAAAAAUAUAAAUAUUCUAAUACAUUAUAUAUAUAUUAGCAAAAUCUAUACACUAUCCAUUACCCCGGGAUAAAAUAACUAUUUAAAAAAACUCCACCCAUUUGAGUCCACGGAUAUUAAAUUCGGAAUAAUUCUCAUCCUUCAUAAUAUUCAUCCCGAAAAUAUAAUAAUGUUAGAAAAUAAUAUAAAUCAUAUCUUAAAACUCUACAUAACAGUUUAAACUAUUAGGUUGAAAUGUUUCAUUGACAUGAUAUCAGAACCUUGAUGACCAAACAGUCACGAGUUAAAAUCUCACUAUCCCAUUUAUUUGAUAAAAAUUAAGUAUAAGAUAAUGUGAGUUUGUGUACAUUUCAAGCCCAAAAGGUUUUAAUUUGAGGAGUGUAUUAAAAAAUAAUAUAAAUUAUAUUUUGAGAUCUAAUUUAAUAGAUUAAGUUAUUGAAUUGAGAUGAUUAUUUGACAAAUAAUACUCUUAGGAUAUCCAAAAAUUUCAAAUUGAAGGAAUGGCUUCACAGAAAACAUAGUCUAGAAAUAAAAAGAGUGGUCGUGGUUAAAGACCACUUCUGGCUUGAAAAUAAAAACUGCAGGAUAAAAUUUGUAGUUCGAAAUAUGGCGCCUGACUCUGAGUUGAAAGAACCGCUACUGAUAUCUUUCAACAAUUUACGUUGUAAUUACAUAAUUCAAUAGCUUACAGAACAUUAACAAGUUCAUUUUCCAUAAGCAACAUCUGCAAAGAUUGUCAUGCGUGAUUUGUCUCACUUUCACGGUUAAAGGAGAACCUAACCAAUCUGGCUUCAGUUGCCAAUUUUAUAACACAAGAUCACUGAAAAAUGGCAGAAGUGAAAGCAUAAUUAUAACACAAGAUCGUUGAAAAUUUUCCCAAAUAGAGCCUCGAUCUUUAGGAAUUCAUCCAAUCUAAAAAACAGAAAACCAAUCCUUAUGAAUUCAUCGGAAUAAUGAUUUAAGAGCGCUCCCAUGUCUAUGAAAAACACCAAAUUCUGUUUCAGCCUAAAGAGGAAGAAGUUUUCCAUGUAGUUCAUCUCCGUCAUAAUUUCAUUGCAAAACGAAGCAAAGCCGAUGAAUGUUUUGCUUUAAAAUUUGUUUUCUUACUUGGGAUUAAAGAUAAUGUGACUCAACAGAGCUUAUCAAGGGAACGACUUUAGGAGAAAAACUAGACAGAGGUUGUCUGAUAUUUAUGCAAUCCACAACCACAUUUAGCCUAGAUAUUCCAAUUUCCAACUAUAAGGCUAAUUGCUCCACAUGCUUCAGGGAUAAAUAAAUAAAUAACAACUGCGAUGUAAAAUUUGAAGUUCAGAAUUCUAUUUAGCAUACAGUAGCUUACAGCAUGGAUCCUGAGUUAUUACCACAGUUCACCGACAUAUCAACAAUUUACGUUGUGAUUGGAUGGUUCAACAAACUUAUUGAGCAUUAAAAAGCAAGUUUUCCAGAAAGACCAGCCAAGAGAGGAAGCUUCUCAAGUUCUCAUGCUGAAGUUGUUUCUGAAAUUCUUUUGGCUUCAAGUGUCUUUUCAUAUUCCUCAAUCGACUUAAAGAGCUCUGAAAAAUUUCCUUUCCCGAAUCCUCCACAUCCACUCUUCUGGUAUUCCCUGCCCUUCUCAUCCUUGAGCAUGCACCCCACUCUCUGAAUUAUCUCUAUAAAGAUUGUUGGCCUGCCAAAACCACAACUAAAUAAAUCCCCUCGGAUCUUCCUAGCCAGAGGCCUAACUAAACCUUGUUCAUGAUCCAAAACUUAUUUUAAAGAUGCCCCAUUAACAUUAAGUUUCCAGCACUUAUUUUUAAAAGGAAACAAUUAGCGAUCCCAUAAGAUCAAAGAAAACUUAAUAAGAUAAAAUAAAUGAACUCAAAACUAUCCAUCCUAUAAAGCAAUAAUAAAUUCACUCUAUCAAAGAAGUUUUGGAAAUACCUAUCACCAACAGGCUUGGUGAAAAUCUGAAGCAAAGUCCCUUGAUCAUCUCGAUCAACCAAAAUCCCCAAUUCCUCACACUACUUAAUCUGCUCAUCGCUCAAUACAUCCCCAGCUCUACUCUUCAAGUUCUCAUAAUAAGUGGGCGGUGGCGAAGGCAUAAACUCAAAUCCCUCAACUGCACUGCACUUCCUCAUCUCCCUCAAAGUCCUGAAAAUAUCCUCACUCACAAGCGGCAAAUGUUGCACUCCAGCCCCUUCAUUGUGCUCCAAAUAAGUCUGUAUCUGACUCUUCCUUUUAGUCCCAAAAACCGGCUCGUUCAUUGGCAACAGCACUGUCUCUUCGUUAUUAGCCAAAACAACCGCAUUCAACCCACUCUCGCUCGUCCCAACAUCCUCCGCCGUGAAAUCCGCAAAUUCAUGAAAACCAGUGAACUCCUUAACGUACGUAAUUCAGCGCCGGAGCCAAUUCCGGCACGUUUCCAACCGCAUGGUCUAAUCUCCUGAUCCCGUAGUCCAAAGGAAACGAUGACACUGCCUCGAAUUUAGGCAAAAACCAAUUGUCAGGGCUAGAAUCGUCGUUUUCAGAAUUGCUGUAGCUUACGUAUCUUAAAACGACGUCCCCGUAGAGGUGAACCUCUCGGUGAUAACGGCACCAUUAUCAAGGAGGAUUGGAGAGGCUGACGGCUUGGCGCCGUGUGCCACGCUGGUGGUGAAGGCUAGCUCGGCGUCGUCAACUUCGAUGGCGAUGGCGCGGACUGCGAGGCCGUGUUUGGCGGAGAAGUUGCGGCAGGUUUCGUGGUUGAAGGUGGGGAUGGAGGCGGUAGCGGUGUGGGAGAGGUUGACGUCCAUGGAAGCUAUAGAGGGAGAAUACGGGGCAGUGAAGAGAAAGUUUAGGUCGCCGGAGCGAAGGAGGUAAGAGGCGUGUGUGUGCCGAGUCCCCAAGAGAAACGGCGUGCCGUGUUUGUUGCGUCCGAGCACCAAAAUUCUACGUGGUGGAAACGGUUCACUUUAAAAAGGUCGGACCGUGAGUUGGUUCUAACAAAGUUGGAGAAACCGACUAGCUUGAACUCACCUGGUGUCUCUGAUGUCUCAUUUUCUUUGCCCAUUGUGUCGGCUCUCAAUUUUUCAGGUUUACCACUCUAAACUGGAAAGGGUAUUUGCAGAUGAUCAUGUCCUAUCUAGUCAGAGAAUUCUGAAACAUGAGGACUGUGGAUUUUGAUAUGACGUGUCAAGUUAAUCGUUCUCGUACUUGUCGGCUAGAGCUGGAGUUUAGAAAUGCAAGACGGGGUGCAAGCGGAUUUCGAGGCCAGCACGUUAUCAUUACAGAGUCUGUCUGUAUCUUGAAAGAAAAAUGAAGUGAUACCAACAUGUUUUAUUUUAUUUUAUCAUAUUGUAUCCGCAUUAUCUUUCGUCUAAGAUUUUAAAUUUGAUUGUUAAUGUAAGAGAAGAAAGAGUUAGUGUUAUUUUAUUUUAAAUUUUAGUUUAUUCUUUUUAUUUUUAGACUAAUUAGAAGGUGUUUUGAAGCUAAAAAUAUAUUUAUUUAGAUUUUUAAAAUGUUUUUUUAUUAUAAAAACAAAUUAAAAUUUAAGUUUUUGAGUACAAAAACUCGUACCCCAUCUUUCUGACAAUCAAAAUGACUAGAAAAUGUUCUAGAGGACCAGACGUCACCUUUGUUAAAUUAAAAACAAAACUCGAGCAGAUGACUUACCAUUUGCUUCUUUUUUUUUGAAAAAAAGCAUGGGACCCCAAGCACGCCUGAGGAUUUGCCCAGCAACUCAUAGCUUUUUAAGCCAAACAACGCAUGAUUUCUUUUAUUUAAUUAAUUUUUAAUUGAUAUCUUUUUUUUUUUAAGUGUUUAUGAUGCAAACUGAAGAUGAUAUGAAAAGACAAAGAAAAAAAAAUUUACAUGAAGAACGAAAAUAACUUUGUAUAAUAAAUUAUUUUACACUACCAGAAAAUUGAUAAAUACAAACAGAAAUACCGAGAGAAUAUUUUCGUCGGUAAAUUUCCGAGGGAUUUUACCGACAGAAAUAUUCCCUCGGUAUAUACCGAGGAAAUUACCGCGGGAAAAAAAAUUAAAACAAAGCAAAAAAAAAUUGAUGACGUGUCAUUUUUACCAACGGAAUUACCGACGGAAUAAAUUUCGUCGGUGAUUUCGUCGGUAAAUUUGUUGGUAAAUUGUGAACACUGUUCAUCAUGUUAAUUACAAAGAGAAUCACCGACGGAAUAUUCCGUCGGUAUUUUCCAGAGAGUAAAUCACCGACGGAUUGAAAAGUCGUCGGUAUUAUUUGGCGGUUUUCUGAAAAAAUUCAAUUAAUUUAAAAUUUUCAUUUAAAUAUUACAGACGGAAUCACCGACGGAUUGAAAAAUCAUCGGUAAUUUUUUGGCGGUUUCUGAAAAAAUUUUACGAAAUUGAAAAUUUAAAUUAAAUAUUACCGAUGGAAUUACCGACGGAAUAAUUAAAAAAUAUUAAUAUUUAAUUAUCCGUCGGUAAAUCCGUCGGUAAAGCGUCCCAAUAAAAAGCCUGAAUGUCCUUAUUUCACAAGAGACAGACCCGUUUCUUAUUAUUAUUAUUCUUCUUCUUGUUCUUCUACUUCUUCUUCUUCUUCUUCUUCACUAUAUGUAAAAAACAUCAUUAAGGUAUGUCUUCUUCUUCUUCUUCACUUUAUGUAAAAAAUAUCAUUUCUUAUCUAUUUCUUUCUCUUCUUUUCUCUCCUCAUCUCCUUCUCUUUUUCUCCAUGCUUGGGUAUGUCUUCUUCUUCUUUCUUCUUUUAUCCUCUUAGUUUUUUUUUUUAAUUAAUAUGCUUAAUGAAAUUUUUUUUCUCUCUUUAGCUUCACUUGCAACUACAUUAAGGUAAGAUUUUUCUUUUUUCAUGAUUUUUUUCACUAUUUUUGUUCUUUAUUUAUUUUUAAUUGUUUUUGUUCUUAAUAAUUGUAUAAAUGUUGUUGUGAGAUUUUUUUUUUCAUAUGAGAUCAAUUUUUAGUAGAUUUAUUUAUAGGAUUUUUAAAUUUUUAGCAAUUGCAACUUCAUUUUUUUCAUAUGAAUUUUUUUAGUUGAAUUUAUUUUUUUAUUUUAUUUAUUUGUUGCAAAUUUGUUUUAAUUGAUUUUCUUAUUCUUUUUUCCAAGCAUUUUGAGUAUAUAUUAUACAGUGUUAAUUUAUGUUAAUUUAAUUAUUUUAUAAUUUUAUAAAAUGAAUUUUUUUUUAAAUGUUUUUAAAUAAUUACCGACGGAAGUUCCGUCGGUAAUUCCGUCGGUACUUCCGUCGAUAAUUCCAUCGGUAAAUCCCUCGGUAAUUUCGUUGGUAAUAAAAAAAUUAUUACCGACGCGUCUGUUCCGUCAGUAAAUCCAUCGGUAAUUCUAUUACCAACGGAUUUACCGACGGACAAAACAUUACCGACGAACGAUUCACCGACGGAUCAUUUCCGUCUUUGAUUCCGUCGGUAAUAUAAUUACCGAUGGAAUAUGUGUCUUACACCGACGGAAAAAUUCCGUCGGUAAAACUGUUAAAUCUUGUACUGUUACACACUAUAGUAUUCUUUACAUGAGCACUGUUGUAUUUAUAUACAGCUUAGUAUAACAAACUCUAACAAACUAUAUCGUCCUAUACUCUUAUAAUAGAAUGAGAGAAAAAAUACAAAAAAAUUAUUCUAUUGUAUAAAGAAUACAAAAGAUUUAUUCUAUUGUAUUUACAAAUCUUAUUGUAGCUGGCAGAGUGGCAAGCGACUGGUGUGCAAAUCUUGUUGUAACGUCCUGCAUGUCCUGCUUGGUGUUGGCUCCAACGUCUUGCAUGACAUGCUUGAUGCUGGCUGAGUGACAUGCUUUUGGUGUGGUGUCUAAUAGUUUACUUUAACUAUUUUUAAGAUUGCAAUUAAUAUUUUGGAUGGUUUCUAUAAUUUCAUAAUACUUUAAAAAGAUUAUUGUAACUUAUUUUUAAUUUUUUUUGACAAGUUUUUUUAUAGAUUAGUUGUAUUUGUAUGAUAUAUUUAUAAAAAUAAAAAUCAUAUGUACUUGUCAAUGAGAAUGAAGCUCUUAAAUAAAUAAAUUGAAAUGUAUAAAAUAAAAAGGAUAGUUAAGGUUACAUGUACAUUUAUCUUUUGUUUUUUAUUAGAAAGAUCAACUUUCCAUUUUAGUCCGUAAUUAACAUUCACAACUUUUUUGUAUGUGAUUUAUUAAUUCAUUAUGUUAAGAAUAAACAUCAUCUUUACAUUAAUUACUUGGUUAACAAAUUUAAUGAUACCAUAAAACACAUCCAUAAUGUUCAAACCUUCUUCUUUUGUGUUUGAUUUUAACUUGGAAUCUUAUCAAUAAUAUAGCACAUGUAUAUUGGCAGAGAUAAAAAUUUAAUCUGAACUUAAUAAAUAUCAACCGACUUAAAUGAGUGAGUUUUUUUUAACAAUUACCUUAUAUAAUGGAUAAUAAACAAGGUAUGAAUAUUAUCAAAACCAACCCAAAACUCAAGAUAUAUAUUUGUAUUAUAUAAAUAUUUAUGUACAAUAUUUAAUAGAUACUUUUGUAAUUCAAUAUAAUAUAUAAAUAUCUCAAUAUUGACACGAUACACACAAAUUAUACACACACAAGAUAAAUACUAAAUCUGACAAAUAAAAAGAUUGUUCCUGUUUGGAAAUGAUGAAAAAAUCAUUUUACUAUUCUAAUUCAAGAUGAUUUGUGUCUUGUUGUUAAGUAAAAGAUUUAUUAUUUAAACUUUAAAAAACAAAAUAUAAAUUUUAAUUUAAUUUUCAAUUUCUCAUAAACAGUUGAAAAAAUAAAUACUACAAAGGGAUUUUACAACUACACCAUGGUGGAGUGAAAUAUUUAGAAAAGAAAAAGAAAACCCAAAUAACACCAUUUUUUUAGGAAUCAAUUAUCUUUUAAAUUUACAACGUUUAAUUAUUUAACCUAGAUUAAUGAUCAUUUAAUUGAUUCAAAUUAAAGCAAAAGACAAUAUUUGUCACAAAGAAAGUCAUCAAAAACUGAAUCCGAUGUCUGAAUAUUAAGAAUUUGUUUUGCCUCCUAUUUUUUAUAAUUUUUACUUGUUUUGCAUUAAUUAAAAACACCAUGUAAGUGUUUGAUAAAUAUUUUAAUACUCCAUUGUCCAUUGCUUAAUAGUUAUGGUCUUCAUAAUAAUUUUAAUUUAAACAACACAGCAACAAUAAUUAUAAAAAACUAUGAAACCUUAAGGUGUGUAACUCAACUGGUCAGGUCAGGCGUUUGCUUUCUAGAAUUUACCAGUUCGAGUCCCACAAAUCUCAGAGCCACUGGAGGCUUAUAUGAUACUUAACUUUAGGGUUCGUAAGAUUAAUCGAGGUAUACGCAAGUUAGCCCGGACACCCACAUUAAUAAUAAAAAAAAUAAAUAACCUCAGUCCCAACACAACAUAAUAAUUUAUAACCAAAUAAUUUAUGUACAUCAUAAUGCAAAGAGCCAUGCAUAUUUUAAAUUAUUUUUUUCUUUCUUUACUUUGUUUUGUUAUCAAAAUCUAGGUGUUGACUUAAUUUUGUUUAUUUAAUGAGUUAGACAAAACCUUCAAUUAUUCUCCUCAUAUCAUGCGAUGCGAGGCAAUACUAAUGCUAUCUGGACAAUGCGAUCCUCCUAGUUAGAAAAUCGACAAUGCGAUCCUCCUAGUUAGAAAUUAAUUGAUUUCAUAUUUUUAGUUUGUUAGGAAAAACCUUGCAUAUGUUCACCUAACUAUCCGUUGAUUUAACAUUUCAAAUUGCCUAGUAAUUGAUUUGAUUUCUUGGUUCGUUGGAAAAAUAUUGCCACAAAAAAACCAGGUCACUAACAGGUUUCGGCUUCGUUGAUUUAACAUUGUAAAUAGCCUAUUAAUUGAUUUUAUUUUUCGGUGUUUUGGGAAAAUGCCGCCAUGAAAACAGAAAGACCACUUGCUGGUCUGGUUUUUAACAGCUGCAAACCUGGUCAUGGCCUGUCACUUAAAUCCCGGGUUAGUCUGUGAGACCAAACCGGGUAUAACAAGUCUGCAACAAUUGUGAUGUUUCUUGAAAAUUAAGGAUACUUGUACGACAAGUCUUGAACAAUUCGCAUGUGAUAAGUAAUAAAAAGGCCAAAUACAAAAAAAAAAGCGUCACCUGCGAGUCAAGUAGAGAAACCUAACAGCCCUCUCUCUACGUAAAACUUUUAUUGGUAUUAUUUUUAUAUUCUGAGGUGUCUUCUAUUCUAAACAUCGCAAAAACCCAUUUCUCCGAUUUCUUCUUCAAUUUCACGUAUCUUACUGCCAAUCGUCGAUCUAUAAUUCCACCCACCAUGGCCUCCAACGGAGCUUCUACGGUCAGUCCAGUCCCUCUCUCUUUUUAAUCAUAAAUUAAUGAAAUUCACGACAAUUGUUUUACUGUGUUUUCAUCAAUGAUUACGGUGAUGAGUAAUCUUUAAUUAUGAUUAAUUGCAGCAGCAACAGAGACCUGCAGUGGGCACAGAGAAUAGUUUGGAGAAGAUCAAGCGGCAAUUAGCGUCCGGCUCUGGUAGGAACUUGUUGCAGGGCCCACUUCUUAAGCGAUCUGAAACUGUACGGCAAUUCCCACUUCUUGAAUCGUUUUAAUUUCGGAAAUUUUCUUUUCAAGUUUAUACCCAAGAAUUGCAGCCUGGUUUUAACAGUACCUUAUUAUAGCUAUGACUGAAUUCUUUGGCUGUUGAAUUAUAAAUAAACUAUGACAUUUUUGGGUCUUUAGGAGUUGCCAAGUUAUUGAUUAGUUUGCUUCAUUUUUGCGUUAUUAGCUGAGGAAAUGGAAUGAGCGAUGGGUGAUCUUAGACCCAACUACUGGGAAAAUGGAAUACAAGUGAGUAAAUGUUGCGCUUUUUUUCACUUUUCGCCUGUAAUGUUUCAAUCCUUCAACUUGUGCUGGUUUUCUUGUGCUUUAGAACUAGGAGAAAUGAGCCAGCUUUGAAAGGGACGAUUCUCUUCGAUGCAAAUAGCACCAUCGCAGUUUCUCCUGUAAACUUCAAGUAAGAUUGGUGUUUUUUUUUAAUCUAUUAAGGUUCCUUUGCGUGUUUUCAGAAAUUAGUUUCAUAAUUAAUUAAUUUGAAUGAUUAUUAACACUGUUGUUUCUUUUGGUGUGAUUUAGUGGGCUCCCAAAGUACGAUGGAUGCUGUUUUUGUAUCCUUAGUUAGCCAACCUAUUUGAAUUUUCUUCAGUUGAAAGCAUUGUAGUGUAGGUGAAUUCGAAUUUGGUGAAGUUGCAUGCUUAACUAUAAUUUAGACAUUGGUACUCCCCAGAGAAAAGAUUACUUCCUCUGUGCAGAGACUCCUGGUGCAGCUAGAGCUUGGGUAGCAACUUUACAGUAAGUUUUGCCUUUGGAAUAUGGACUUUUCAAUGAGCUGAAGGAUAUUUUUCUGUUCCCGUACUUUCCUAUGAUUAUAGAUGGUAUUCUUUUACGUAGAUUUGUUGAUUAUUUAUGUAAAGUUUGAAAUAUUGUUCUAGAAAACUAGAAAGCAAUAACAUCCUGUUGGUCCAUGUCCUAGUUUACAUGAAUGCAGCAUUCUAGGAGUCUGUGCCUUUUCCAUGAAGAUGAUCUACAUUGUGAACUACAUUUUCACAAGCCUUAUGUUGGUUAGAGAUUUUGGAAUUAAGUAUACACUUUUUAAAGCAUUUUUUCCCCUCCCAACAGUAUACCAUUUGUUUGAAUACCACCUUGGAGAUGACCAAUUAUUGUAUUUGUUGGAGCUUCUAAGAAAAGAUAUAUAUAAUAAAUGAGCAAGUUCAAUAGAAAGUAAAGGUGACACCAGUCAAAUAUAUGUUCAUGAAGAAAUCAUUUAAGAUGGUCUCAUAAUGUGAAUCUGUCUGAGUUUUCCAUGUAGAUCUAUUGAAUAAAAAGUGCAAGGUUGAAGAGGCAAAAAAUGGCAAACAUAUGGUGUGUCUUCAAGCAGCGAGGGAAAGAAAAUAGUAUUUUAGAAUCGUAUGGCUCAUAUGGUCUUGGAUAGGGUAGAAAUAAGGAUAAUUCUUGUAACCUACUCCAGCUAGCAUUGAUAAUCUUGUGGAUGAUUUGUUUGGUCCUCUGUGACAUUGGAGUAACUUUCAAAUCUGUGUUUCUCCCUUAAAGUACUUCACAUAGGCUGUUUAUUGAAGUCAUUCCCUGUUCAAGUGCUGCCCUAGAAGUUAAACAAUCAGCUCAAAACUCUUCAUGCCAACACUGGCAACAUAGUUGAAAGAUUUAGAAUCUAAGAGGCAAGUUUCUCUAAAGCAUGGGAAUAUAACAGUACCUCCUUUUCUUCAUUUAGGUUCCUUUCUCUACCUGUAAUAAUUUCUUUUAGUUGGUCUAUGUUUUUGUUAAUGAUGUUCAGUAACGAAUUUACUUUGGCCAAUCUUACAAGGAUCAUAUGAGAUCAUUUUUUUUUUACUUUAUUUGGAUUGAUGUUGAAAAUUGCAUUACUAGUAGUUUUUUCCUUUUUUUUUAUUUUUUUUUUGGCUUGCUGAUAACCAGUGCUACUCAGUUGGUUCUAAAGGCUCAUAAAGAGGCUGUGGACUCCUUAAGUGGAAAUGGUUCUGCAAAAUUAGGAACGGUUGCCACUGUAGUUGCUGCAGCCAAUUCAACAGCGCUGGAAUGCUCAAAAGAAAUUGAAGCAGCAAUGCAGAUUUCUUUAAGAAAUGCUUUAGGAAUGAUGAAUAAUAGGACAACUGAUGGUCCAAUGGAUGACAAGACAAUCCUGAAGGUAUAUAAUUUCCAAAAUUUCUCUUGUUCUUUUGUUGCUAUAUCACAAUUUUUGUCCAGAUUAAGGGAAACAUACACAGUAUGCUUUAUAGAUAUUCAAAAUUGGUUGCCUUUUGUUAUUUUUUGGAACUUAAGCUAUAGUGCCCCAUUGCAUUGUUUACCACUUGAUGUUUACUCUUAUAAGACGUGUCAAAUUUCAUGCCCUUUACCCUCUAUUGACUGCAAAUUCUGAGCUAUGUGCUCCGAGCUUGUGUAAAUGCAUGAAGAAGUACUUCUCAGUGCAGAGCAUGUGUGCACAAGCUUGCUUAUGAAAAUUAUGCACUCAAUUUUUUUUCUUUAACAGUGAAAUUGAAAUAGCAAUUUGAUGCGGGACAAAAGAGAUUUAAAGAUGAAGUAAUAAGUUAAGAAGAAGAAGCCUAAAAAAUAGAAAAAAGAGCUGAAGAAGAAAAAGAAUAGGGGUUGGAAAGUUCUCUACAAAUUUUGAUUCAAUUCAUCAAAUCUGUAGAUAUAAAUGCUAAAACCCUAACUAGAACAAAUAAUUGGGUUUAUAGCCCAUUAAAUAAAAUAUCCAAAAAUAACUAAAUUAAGCCCAAUAAAUAAACCUAAAUAAAAUUCAAUAACACAAGAGUUGGCCUAUUCUCCAUCAUCAUAGAUCAUAUAAACGUGUGAACCAUGUCUCGGGUAUGAUGUCCCCAUCAACUGUUCCAGGGUUGGAAGAACUUGAUCUCGUCGAGUAUAGUUCAUGGCGGCUCCAAUAACACUUUCGAAGAUAAGGAUCAAGCUCUUGUGAUGUCUCUUUGGUAAUCCAAGUAUAGUUUGAAUCUAGUCGUCUAUCUCAUAUACUAGGAUUCAUUGAAGUUCAUCAUCCAUAGUAAAAACAACUUGUCCAUCCAAAGUAACAUUAAUAUGUUCAUUUUAUGCCAAAGAUAAUGACAAUAGGGCAAGAGUCUCAAAAGGAUCAUUAGAGAUAGACUGUUGUGUUUUAUAUAUAUCGAGGUUCUUUAUGUAAAAAGUAGAGCUAAUAUCAAAGUUUAGUUUCACUAUUCACUUAUAAUUUAUGACUAGUUUUCAAAGGACAUCUUUCAUUGACAUACUUGUUCCCCUGCUUUAUAUUGUUCCAUUGGUCUAAGAGUUUAUUCCUAUAAAACCGGGGUAGGUAUUUCUCCUGUAAUUCUUGUUUCAUUUUGGUCCAAUUAGUUAUGAGAGGUUUACCUCUCAUCUCUAAACAAUCAACAUCUCCCCAAUAAAGUUGGGCUAUCAAUGAGCAUCAUCUUAGCAAAUUUAACUCUUUUAUUAUCAGACAAGUUAUGUCACACAAAGAAUUGAUUCAUGUUACGAAUCCACAUAUCAAUGACCCAAGGAUCAUGACGAUCGUCAAAAGUGGAAGCUUUUAUUUUGUUAGGGCUCGUGACUUGCUCAUCAAGGUCAUCAUAUGUAGAGUAACCUAAAUGAUAGUUAUAUUGGUGACGCUCAUGGUGAACUUCCUUAUUAGUGAUUAUUGUUGUAAUUUUUACUUGUCUUUGGGUGCUUUAUUCGAGAACUCUCCAGGGGUUCAACUCUUUUAGACAUAUUCGUCAUCUGAGUUUAGAGUUCCCCUCAAAUGACCUUGAGAGUUUCACUAAGGGUUGGGUCCACAGUAAGUGUAAGACUUAAGGUUUGACACUAGAUGAUCAUGACACAAAUGCAUGCAACACUAACUUAGAAAUGGAAUUGAGAUCAUAUAUGAUUUCUACAAGUGAAAUCACAAUACAAAAAUAAAGCUAAUUCCAUUUUUAUUUUUAAUGUGGAGAUUAAUCAAGAACAGAAAACACCAGAGAAAUUUUAAGUAGGCACUGUUAGACCUUCAAGUGUAAAUGAUUAAUCAAAUAAAAGUCACAACUUUUUACUAAUUUCGAUAAGCUCCACAAUUAAUAAAAAAGUCCAAUGACAAAAUUUGAAUGACAAUAUAUAAAGUGGGCAAAUAUAUAAGGGCAGAAGGUCACUGAUAAUUUGAAUAACAAGUGUAAUACUAAUACAAUGAAAUUCAACGUAUUAAAAGGUAAACUUAUUUACUGACUAGAUUGCUUGGUGGGAAGAUGUUGGAAGGUACUAUUGCUAACAUGGCAAAAAAAUGCUGACGUGGCAAUGAUGGCUGACAUGACAAUGCAGUGUGAUGUUGUUGACGUGCAUUGACGUGGUAGUGCGUUGACAUGUCACUGAUGUGGUGGUGUGAUUGCGUGGCGCAAACAUGGCAGUUUGAUGACAUAGCUGAGCGAGGGUAACUUUUUUUAUUCUUUAGAUUUGGGUUGUAAACAGACAAAUUAGUUUUUCUUCAAAUAUUGAUGAUUCUACACAAUUUCUAGGGCUUAGGAACUAUGUUGAAUUUUAAGGAUUUUCACAAGCUCUAAAAGAUCGAUUAACUAUAAUAACAAUUAAAAACCUAAGCUUUGAUACCAAGGUUGAUACGGGAUAAAAAAGAUUUGAAGAUGUAGUAAUAAGCUAAGAAAAAAUAGCCAAAGAAAAAAGCUAAAGAAGAGAAAGAAUAGGGGUUGAGAAGUUGCAACUCUACAAAUUUUUAUUCAAUUAAUCAAAACUGUCUAACAUUUAGAAAAAUAAAAUAUAAAUACUGAAACCCUAACUAGAACAAAUAAUUGGGUUUAUAUCCCACCAAAUAAAAUAUCCAAUAAUAAGUAAAUUAAGUCCAAUAAAUAAACCUAAAUAAAACAAUAACUAAAUUAAGCCAAUAAAUAAACCUAAAUAAAAUCCAAUAAUACAAGAGUUGAGCUAUCUUCCAUCAUCAUAGAUCAUACGAAUGUGUGAAUCAUGUCUUGGAUUUGAUGUUCUUAUCAUACUUGCUAAACAACUUACUGUUAUAACACUUGCUUACUCCCGCAAACAAGAAGUUGUUUUCAAAGUCUUGAACAUUUUUACCCUAAUAUUAUUGAGUGUUUAACAAAUUUCAUGUUAGGAAUAAUAAUAAAUAGUAAUUUUUCUUUAAAAGUCAAAGUGGCUGGCUUUGUUAUGGUCUUACAUGGAAAUUUGUGCCUAGAGAACCCUACGCGUCCUUUUCUUUUGAGAAUCAACUAACUAUCCUUGCACUAUAUAUAAACUACAUGCUGUACAACACCUGCCUAGGCUAGGUUGGCAUGUUUCCAACCUGUGGCUUCCUGAUGCCAAACAUUAAGUUUAUUUGACUAUUCAUUCCACAUGGACUUGGUUUCUAAAGCGAGAAUAUUUUACAGGAGACGCUGAGAGUCAAGGAUGAGGAAUUACAGAAUCUGGCUCGAGAUAUUCGUGCUCGUGACUCAAUAAUAAAAGACAUAGCAGAUAAACUAUCUGAGACAGCUGAAGCUGCUGAGGCUGCAGCAUCUUCUGCUCAUACUAUGGAUGAACAGAGAAGAAUUGUUUGUGCUGAAAUUGAGCGGUUAUCAAAAGCUUCAGAAAAGCAGCUGGAGUCAUCCAUGUUGAAGGUACUAGUAAUCUCGCCUUUUUCAAUGGUUCAUUCUAUAGUCCAAAGGCUACAUAUAUAUAUAUAUAUAUAUAUAUAUAUAUGUAAACCAUAUGGGAUGUGUUAGCAAAAGCAAAUCCCUCUUCAAGACCAUAUUCUCUCUUUCGAGAUGCAGUUUGAUUAAUGUGUGUAUCAUUGCCAAAUGAGAGCUAAUGCCUACGUACAAUUUAGGAUGUCAGUUUCAGUUUGUUUAUGUGGGCUUUCAUUUAUGGAUGUGUGUAGUUAAAAGAGUAUGAAGAAAAGGUUGUGACUCUGAGUAAGGAAAGAGAUCAACUGAUCAGGCAGAGAGACUCUGCCAUCCAGGAGGCAAAUUUAUGGCGUUCUGAGAUUGCAAAAGCCAGAGACCGUGCUCUGAUAUUGGAAGGAGCUGUUGUUAGAGCAGAGGAGAAGGCAAGAGUUGCAGAAGCAGAUGCUGAAGCUAGAAUAAAGGAGGUUGCACAGAGAGAGGCAGCUGCUGUGAAGGAGAAGGAAGAGCUUCUAGCAUACGUGAAUAUGUUACAGGCACAACUUCAAAGGUUUGACAUCUGAUCCCUUCUAACCCAAUAGAAAGAUUACUGCCCCUUUUUUCAUUUUUUGAUGUUUUGAAAUCAUCUUAUAUUAGCCUUUAGGAGACGUAAAUCUGUAUAUUUCACUCUUGGAUUUUGUCAUUGUACUGCUUCUGCUAAUGUACCUCGUCGUUUCUUUUCUGCAUUUUGUCAUCAGCAUUUUCAGCCCAUGAAAGGGGAAAUUAAAAAAAAUAUUGUACUUGAAACUUGCUAAGAUAGACAAAAUUGAUAUACCAUUCCCUCAACAGGCAGCACAAAGAUACAAAGCAAGUUUUCAAGGAGAAAAUGGAGACUCCAAAUGUUGUUGACAGCACUCUUCCCCUGACUAAGCAUGUAGACUUGUCAGAUGAGAAUGUUGAUAAAGCUUGUCUUAGUGUUUCUAGAGCUGUCCCAGCUGCUGGGGAGAAUGUUGUGCACAUGGCAGUGGAUCAAAGCAACCCCCGGCCAGUUGAAGAUGCUGAAUGGAGCGAUAUUCAGGCAACAGAGUCAACAAUAGCUGAUGUCAGAGAAGUUGCACCGGAGAUAGAUGGAAGCAGCCUGGAUAUUCCUGUUGUUAGGGCACCUGUAAAUAAUCAUCAUGAGCAAGGAGCCAACACCUAUCAUCAGGCUUGAUGUUUAAUCUUGCAUGUUCUACAGCGGACAGCAAUCUUUGAAGGUAGGGAAUGGCAUGCUAUUUGAAGUCAAUUAACAGUAAAAUCCUAAAACUUCUCGAGGUAUGUCUUUCAUCCGCUGGCUGGUUGGACGCCAUUGCUUGUUAUAUCACCCUGUAUCUUCAAUGAAGGAUACAUCCAGAGCUUUCCUGGAAUGUAUUUGAGAGCUUCAAAAUAGUCCAUCUAUGAUACGCGUGUACAGAGCGUUGUUCUGAAAUCUGAACCUUCUUGUCCCAACCAUAUAUUUUCCAGUCGUCAUUGUUGUGAUUGACUUUGUAUCUUUGUUAAAGAAUACAGCUGCCCAUUCGUCAAUGUUUUUGAGGGCAUAACAAUAAUCCCUUUUUUAUGUUUGUGUAAAGAGCUUGUUAGUUCUGAGUGUUAAAUGCAUUUUUUUUCUUAAAGAUGUUGAUCUCUUUUGUUGCUUGAUUGGGUUUUUGUUGCUUUUACAUGCGUUGUUACCCAAAGAUUUCCCUCAUUAAAUGAAAUCAUUUAACGAAGCACAUCCAGUUGCACCAGGUGCAGUUUCUUUGCUAGUUUAGCUAAGAAAAUUUGGAUUUAGUUGAACUAUGCACUAAAAGCCUUGGAGUUGGCGCUGCAAUUUGUUACAAACUUGAUAGUGUCGUAAAUGAGAAGGCAAGUAAUAACAAUAAUUUUUUUUUUUUGUAAACUGCAAGAACAAUCUCCCUCCCUCCUCUCUCUCUAACUCUCAAUCUCGAUUUCUCGACCACCAACUAUUUUUGUGAAGGUCAAACCUUAGUAAAUUGAUAUCAGAGCCAUGAAUUCAAGGCUAUUGCAGGAGGAAACAAAAAUAAUAGUGGAAAACAACAAAGUCAGCUUUGGAAGUGCACGGUAGACAAUUGGAUGAGAGAAUACAAGUUCUUCAUCAAGAAUUGUAGGAUUCAUGGAAUUAAAAUAAGAGGCAAUGGCAGGAGCAAGUUAAAUGGAAUGAGCAACUCAAUGCACAAAUGGAAACUUCGAUGGCUACGUACCAUUCAAACAUUCAUGGAUGGAAGGGAAUCAGAGAAGGAAAGAAGGAACCAUGCUAAUACAAGAGGCGUGGUUUGUCUACAGAUGAAUCAUAAUCGAGAUGAAUAUGUGAGAAUCAAUGAAGGCCAUAAUGGUAUAUACAAUGUGGCUUUACCUAAAAUAUAGCUAACUAAAUUUCAUGGAGACAAUCCACGGGAUGGAUUAUGAAAUGUAGAAAAUAUUUCAAGUUUUGUUUCACCGCAGUUCACCACUGGGUUGAAAUAUCUUCACUUUACUUGAAUGCAAAGUAGAAGUUUGGUUUGAAGGCUUUUUGAUAGGAGAUCGACCUUACUAACUGGGUGGAGUUUGUUCGAUCCAUUUGUACAAGACUCGGCAGCAAGGACGAUGUAAUGGAAGAACUCAACAAGUUGGUGUAAGAGAAAGGGGUAUGAAAGUAUGUUGAAAGGUUUGAGGAGCUCAAAUCUUUAAUGAGCAUCUUGAAUCCUUCACUACUAUAAUUAUACUUUAUAUCAAGCUGUAUCAAUGGUCUCGAAGAUGGUAUCAAACUAACAUUGAAGAUAUUGAAGCUUGCAACAUUGAUACAAGCAUUUGAUUAAGCAACGUGGCAAAAGGAUCGAUCUAAACAUGCUUAGCGAGGAAGAAUAUAAUGUUACCCAAAAUAUCUCCUCCUUUCAAUAAUGGAAAACCACCAAGUAACUCAUCUUUCAAAACUCCUUAUAAUGCAAGAACUAAUUUUACAGUAGAAGGAAAACGAUUACAUGGAACCUUACAUGAACAAAAGAGAAAAUUAAGACAGUAUUAUAAAUAUCGGGAGAAAUUUGUAUUAGGCCAUCAAUAUAAUUUGAAGAACUUGAAUAUGAUAAAUGGUGUAGAAAAAAGUGAGGAUUUUCUAGAAGUAGAUGAGGGAAAUAAUAAGCUCAAGAGGAUUAGGUGGAUCAGUAUGGCUUAUCUCUUAACACAUUGGCUAAUACUUAUGCUCAUAAUACAAGGAAAUUAACAAAACGAGAACCUUAUAAUUCUUAUUAAUAGUGAUAAUACCCAUAGCUUCAUAGAUAAACACGUGGUUAUGGAGAUCAAGAAAAGGGCUACCAAAGUCUAAAGGCAACGGCACUAUAUUGGUUAUUCUAGACAAGUUUAUAAUAUAUAGUCACUUCAUUGUUUUAUUACAUUUUUUUUUUUAGUUUAACGUGGGUAUCCGGGCCAGCUUGCGCGCACCUCGACUAAUCCCACGGGCCUUGAAGUUAACGACCAUGUAAGCCUCCAGUGGCCAUCAUAUGAGCAACCACAGGACUCGAACCUGAGACCACAGAGGGAGCAAACCUCUUGAUCCCAAGCUCUUACCACUUAUAACUACUCAGAUGGUAGCUUAGAUAUUCUUAAAUUAUUUUUAUAAGUUUCAUGGUUUGUUAACAACCACUAUUGUAAUUGGCAUUGACAAGGUGUUUACCGAUUUAGUUGUUAGGUGCUAAGUUAUUUAUAAGCUCAACUUAUAACCUCUAGUCUAAUGGAUAGUCUGAAAGGGUAAAUCAUUUUUGGGAAACAUGCUAUGUCUAUGAAUAAUUCUAAAUAUUGUUGUUCAUGACAAUGAUGGUAUAAUUCUAAGUAGCAUUCCACCAUCAAAAUGAGCAUUUUUCAUGCUAUGUAUGGUUAUCCACCUCCAACUACAGAAAUGGUGUGACUAACUACAGAAAUGUUGCGACUAGAGAAUACUAUUAUAUUAUGACAUGAGUUGGAGAAAUGUUGCAGAAAAGAGAACAAAUGAAUCAUAAUUUACAAAGACAGUUAGAUGUGGGAAGGAAUAUGAUGAAAAAAGUGGUUGACAAAGGAAGGGUGAAAAGAGAAUUCAUGGUGGGAUAUUUGAUGUUUAAAAAGUUACAAUCAUAUAUAUAGACAGGCAACUGUGGGUUUUAAAAGGAAUAUAAAGCCGAACCCGUAGAAUUUUGGUCCCUAUAAAGUCAUUCAAAAGAUUAGGGUUCUGGCAUAUAAACUUUUGUAACCAGAAAUAACUAACAUCCAACCAAUGUUUCAUGUUUCCUUGUUAAAGAAGAAGAUUGGAAGCAAUGACAUGGUAUCUUUUUAAGAAUAUAAUUGCGGUUAUUUUUUAAAGUGUUUUUCAUUUAAAAAUAUAUUAAAAUAAUAUAUUUUUUAUUUUUUAAAAAUUAUUUUUGACAUCAGCACAUCAAAAUGAUUUAAAAAUACCAAAAAAAUAUUAAUUUAAAACAAAGAAAAAAAUAAAAAAAAAUUCAAUUUUUUUCAAAAACUUUUUUGAAAUACAAAAAUAAAAAGAAAUUUUAACUUUUCUAGUAAAAGAUGAAUCAAGAAAAAUCAAGGUGAAUCCUAUGGCUAUUUUAGAAAGUAAGAUUAUGAAUAAUAAUAAAAAAAAAAGAAUAGGGUUGUUGCAAUAUGGUUGAUAUUUAAGUGGUCGAACUUGUUUAAGUGGUCGAACUUGUUUGUAAAUUGCAGAAACAAUCUCUCUCUCUCUCCCUCUCCCUCUCCGAACUCUCAAUCUCCAUUUCUCGACCACUGACCAUCCUUGUUAAGGUCAACCCUUAACACAAUUCUACAUUUCUAAAUCUUCAGGCUACGAUGCUAAAAUCGGCGAAUGGAUAGCUCCUUGUCUUUGAUCGUUUGCCACAAAUACUUUCUGUGUAUUCCUUUCCCUUUCAUUAGGAUUAAUAGGGUUAGCCCCACCCUUGUAUUAAAGUAUAAUAAAGGGCCUAUAUUUAUACCAAUCUGUUUAGCUCCUUGGACCAUAGCCAAUCUAUAAGGCCUGCAUGCCAUAAUCAAAGGCAUAAUUUUCUCUCUUCUUCCUUUUCUCUACUAGUUUCUUGACAUGCUGCUCGUGUACUAUUUAACUAAUGUAUAAUAUCCUUUUCUAACUACUAAUAGUGCUAAUACAUUGUGUAGAGUUAUUUAUAAAUGAAUAAAUUUGAGUUUUUCUAACUUCAAAUUAUACAAUUUUUUUAUAAUUAUAACUAAAUUAAUUUGUUUAUUCUUUGAAUUAUAUAAAAUUAUUUUUAUCUUAUCUAGGAUUUCAAGUGAUGUAUAAAUAAGAAAAAUUGAUAAACAAGAUUUGCCUAUAUUUUAAACUUUGUUCUAAAAAUAGUCUACUUUUUAGAAACUAAUAAUUUUGUUAAUAUUGGUAUUUUGUUUAAUUAGAGUUGAGGUGAAUUUACUUAUUAGUAUUUGGUAGUAUAUUAUAAUGUUAGUUUUAUAUUAAAUAUAUAAUAAUCAAUAUAUAACUAAGGAGUUCAUAAUUUACUUAUUAGUAUUGGUACUUACGAUAGAGAAAAGCUUGAGCCUCCCAAAUUACGGUUCUAUAUCAUUUCCAUUGCCUCCCUGUCAUUAUUCUUCCACGCCUGCCAGCCUAGCCUAGCCUAGCCUCUUUGUUAGAUGUAGAGAUAUUAGUUCAUGUCCAAGAGAGGUAACAAAACAACUCUACUUGCUCAUGUAAAAAUAAAUUAGCUAUUUCAAAUGGUUGUUUAAUGGAGAAUUAAUGGCUUUGUGUAAUUUGCGCAAGAGAAAGGAAACAAGGCAUGAGAAAAUUGAGUUUGAAACACACGUGGUUUUAAACCUUGUCGGAAUGGAGAUAGAAUUUUAUGGGUGAUGAAGUCGUGGAAAUUUUAAAUUGAUUGGGUUUUUCAUGGCCAUACCUUUGACGGAUAGAGUAAUUGGGCUUAACUACUUAUUAGUAAAGUGAUAGGAUGAUUUUCACGAGCUCUCUUGUAAAAAUAAGUCUCUUAUUAUAAUAGAGAAUUUUCUAAUAAUUAAGUUAGUAAAUAUAGUAAAACAUGAGUAUGUUAAGCAAAAAAAUUAAUGUAAGAAGUCGGAGAAAACUAUGUGAAGAGGGGAGCAGGAACAAGGUAAGAUCGAGCAAUGUGGCUCUGUAAGCUGAUAUGAUCUACUUUACUGCUCUAAAUGUUUGUGUUGUGAAUGAAUUGUUUACCUAAUAACUAGUGGGAUUUAUAAACCUUGAUUAAGUUAUUUUAUCUCAAGGAGAGUGAAGUAAUAAUGGAAAAUAAUUUUUUUUUUCUUGCAUGUAACAUUUCAAGGAGACAUGUUGAUAGGAAAUAACCAUUAACGAAAAAUAUAGACAUCGCACUAAAAAUCUAUGUAUAUGUUGAAAAAAUGUGACAUUAUACUGACUUUUUUAGAGCUCGUCACUUUGAGUGGCUAUUGGAAAGACUAUGGUGCCAUGGACAGGAUUGCUAAUCUAUGGCAAGUUUGUUUAGGCUUCGCCUGAAUAGAUAUGUUAGCCCAUUUAGGCUUACCCAUAGACUGGUAAGUACUAGUCCAUUUGAGCUCAUGUAUGACUGAAUUUGAACAUGAACUAAACAAGACAAGAAUAAAAUUUUAGUUGGUAUGUGCAUCAUAUAUGCUAGCAUGUGAGUCACACCCAUUAUUUUUAGGUGAUGAAUAUGACUCACCUUUAACUUUGAUAAUGAACUUUUUUUUUUAUGUUAUUAGAUUUUUCCAAGUGUGCCGUGCAUGUAUUGACCGUAGCUACAGUGUGCACUCGACAUUUUUUUUUUUUUCUUUUCUUUCUUUUACUCUCUUUUCUAUCUUGGAACUAUAUGCCCAUUUUUUUGUUCUAGCUGUUUUUGGUGUUGCCGAAUCUAUUUGGGCUAAUGACCAAAGAAACUGUUUCUUUUUCCAUCAAUGAGAGAAGGAAAUAUAUAACCAUCUAAAAAUAAUAUUUUUUUCAGUUGAGUUAUUCCAUACUUGGUCAAUACAACUGAAAAAUUCACCAAAUCAUGGGAAUGCAUGAAAAUGAAAUUCUAAUUUAAAAUAAAAAAAUAUAUAAGAAAAUGAAAACUGUAUUCAUCAAAGUCCGACAGAUUGACCUUACAUAUUAAUUCUCGGAAUGAGACAGGUGAGAAAAAUUAAUGCAUGGAUUUGGACCAUACGUUCCGUUUAUCAAACCAAUCACUUCAUGAAAACUCAAAGCAACAGUAAAUAAUAAUAAUAAUUAAUAAUAGUGUGAUUCCUUGCAUCAGCCAUCAAGUCAUCCACAAAUCAAUCCACAUCAACUCGGUCUGCCUAGUGAUUUUAUUACCCCCCAACCCCAUUGCAUGUAGUUUUUUAAGAUAGCCAUGAAAGCUUAUAAAUCCAACCAAAAAAUAAAAUAAAAGGAAAGGAAAGGUGAAAUCUGCAUAUAAGACACCAGUUCGGUUAAACUUAGAAAAAAAAAAUGUAAAAAAUUUAAUACUAAGCCAUCGUAUGCUUUUAGAGUUUCUAAAUCCCUAAUCAUAGGAAAGAAAAGUACAUAUAUCUACCAUCUACAUUCGUCAGGAACUUGAGCUGGAUCGAUGGCUAGCUCAACCACUGUUCUUAGGUCAUCCCAGUUUCCAUUAACGAAGAAAUCAUCUCCAAUACCUGUGUUCCGAAAGCCCUGGUAAGCUGCUGUAAAUGGAGCUUCAGUUACUGAAUCAUAUUGACCACCCAUAAAAAGGUUAUUCCUUUCAUGGUCAACUUGGUCUAUGGUGACAGGCUUCCUUUCAUUUCUUUGAACAAAUGAGUCUCCAAAACUUACAUCCUGCUCAGUACUGGUUUCAGAUUCAAAGCUGCAUGAUUUUGAAUUUGAAUCACAGUUAAUGGGUUUUUGUUCAGUUGCUGGUACUGCAGCUACGUACUUUUUGUAGGAUGGGAUUCGUUUCAGAAUUCGACAGAGUGUCCAAACCUCCUGCAUAGCCACGAAAAGAGUCAGCUGAAGAAAUUUGAAUUUUCCUUCUUUGGCAACUGAAAUAAAUACUCCAUGCAUUUCGAACUAUUGAAGACAUCGCGGUGUUCCCUAUUGACUGCAGGUACCCUUUUAAAGGUCUCUUCCACAGUUUGACUUCCAAAAAAGAAGAGUACGAAAUUCGAAAAAAGAAAAAAACCCUUAAAAAUUGGUGUCCAUACACUGCUAUUAUCAUCAUGAAUGCACUAGCCAUCACCUCAUUAAUUAAUUUCAUUGAUUUAUAUAUUUCAGCAAUGGGUACGAGUGAGUCUCACACGUGAGAUUAUAUUUAACUUAUGUAUUCAACAUUCUUAUUUUAGGGUAAUUAGUAUUUUUAUGCAUAAAAAAAUUAUAAUUUAAAUAUUAAAAGCAAUUAAAAAUGUAAAAAAAAUAGAAAAUAAUAUAUUCAUAUGUGAUCUCAACCUAAAAAUUUAAAUUGAUAAAUGAGUAAUAAUUUUUAUAUUAUUCUCCACUCCUUCAUGUAUAUUAAUUAGAAUAAAAAUAAUGGGAUUGAAACUCAUAAUUUUUUUAUCAAUAAAAAUUAUGAAAAUUUAACCAAGUUAUUUGAACUCAAAAAGUUGCAGUAAUAGUUUUUACAAAGAAAAUAUCUAUAUAAUUAUCCAUAAUAUAUAUACAGCAUAUAUAUACAUAUGCUUUUAAAAUGCAUCACAUUAACUACAGAUAACGAGAUUAAUAAUUAAUUAGAACUCCCUUAAUCUUUAGGGGGAAUUUCCUGUGGCAGCAUAAAAAAUGGUGAGAAUACUUAUGAAAAACUAUAUUGAUGAGGAAGGAAGUGGAUUAAUUUUAGAAAACUUACAGCUUCUUGCGCAAUGUUCCUAGCGUUGAGGGGAUUUGUAGUCUUCCCGUUUGGUGGAAGGCGAAAUUCAUGCAUCAUCCAAUCAGUUUUUGUGCCUUUUCCAGCACUUCCCCGGUAGUAUACCAAGCAUUUCUUGAGACCGAUGCACUCAUGUGUUUCUUUGUCUGAAUAUAUGGGCUUGUCAAUACCAGUGGCCUUCCAAAAUCCAGAUCGUGUCACCCUAUUAGGUCUUACGCUGUUCCUGUACUUUCUCCCUCUUAAGCAGAAGAAAUACCACUCUUUGUCCUCUGCAGUGCUAACUUAACAAGAAUAAGAAAACAGAAAGUUAGAGCCAAGCCAAUGAUAUUAUCAGAAUGUAGGUGAAUUAAAAUAUGCAUUUAUCUGCUAAUUUAAAUCAUAGCUUUACACUAAAAUCUGAAAGCAGAUUCUGAUCAUGGAGGGAAACAGUGCAAGAUUUAGAUACUUUUAUUUUUUAAUUACAUUUUUAUAUACCUGCUAAUACAGGAGGAAAUUAGUAUUAGAAUUAUGAGCUAACAACAAGGCAAUAUCGCGAUUCUAGCACGUUCUCUGCUUCUCUUCUAGUGUCCUUUUUCGCAAAAUUUUCACCUCAUCCCUCAAUUAUUUUUUGCAAUUACAAAUGAAUGUCUUGCGUAACUAAAAGUAAAUGAUUCAUAUCCGGCCACAUGGCAGGAUAUCGACUGAUAUCCGGUAGAGCGGCAGGAGCGAGUUGCUGCCAUAUAUCCGAUAUCAACAAAUCCACCAUGGGAACCUUUUUAUGCUGCAGUUUCUUAUUCUUGUUGCUUCUUCUUGUCAAGAUGGACAAGCUUAUGUUUUAAACAUUAGAAAAAAGGAAGAUAUAAUGGAUCAGUUUGAGAUAACUGUAGUGACUCCAAGGUUUUUAUGAUCCCUCGAUAAGAGAUCCUUCUAUACCAUCAUAGGAAGGUUAAAAAGACAGCAAAUAGAAAACUUUCGAGGUAGGGUUGGAUUGCCUUGCAAAAAGCAGACCUUACACCCUUUCUCUUCUAUGUACUAACCACGGAUAAAUAUCUCAAAAAACAAACAAAAUGAUUUCAAAAUAUCUAAUUGCUUAACCAGAUAUCGUUCCUUUCAGUCAGAGACCCAUUGAGAUCAUGCUGAAGUUUCGCAGCUUGACACACCUGAAGUACUAUAUUUUAGGUAUGUGCUGUUUUCUUACACAGUAACUCUGCUUAUAUACAUAUAUGUCAUCUCAAGAUAACAUAAUAUGCCUCUAAACAGAAGACUGAUUUUGGAUACCCAAAGAAAAGCUCUAGUUUUGUGCAUAAAACACAGAUGUGAUUGCUCACAAGUGAAAAAUGAAAGAAGAGUACUUCUGUGGUUUCUCUGUAGCUAAUUAAAACGAGAAAGUCAUAAAAGGUGAUGACCUACGUAUAUAGCUGUGCUUUUAUAGGUGAUGGAGGAACAUAUCUAGAUAAACACUAUACACGUAAAAGAGCACAUCUUACUUGGAAGAUCCCAUGGAUCGUAUUUGUAGAUAUCAAUCUGUUUGAUGAGUUCAAUACCAAUUCGUUUCUUUUCCACCUUCCGCCGCAGAUAGAACCCAACAAGCUCUUCAUCUGUGGGGUGAAAUCGGAAACCCGGAAGUAUCACUUCCUCAUCCUUAUCAUAAUUAUCAGAACUAAUACAGCCACUCAUCUUUGUCAUGGCCUCCAUCUCUCUCUCUCUCUAUUUCUUCUCUCUUACACCAUAUAUAAUGAUAUUUAGCGCGGUGGUCUUCAAGUAUAUAUAUACAUAUACUGUGUUCGAUGAAUGCUUGCGUCGUUUGCUUAGUUGGUCAAGGCCAUGACUUUGAUUAUAAAUUAAGGGUACAUAGCUAAUAAGGGAAAAUGAUCAGUCUUGGAAGAAGUCUGCUAAUGAAUCGUCAGCUGAUAAUGAUGACUCAUAGGAACAUGUUACUGGUAAAUGUUGUAGAGAAUCUGGGGUGUAAAAAUUAGCAAGUGACAUGGGACUUUUUUGGAAAGUUUGAAGUCUCAUCAGAUAUUAUACCAAUAAAAGUCCAACUGAAAGAGAUACCCUUUGACUAUGGAAAAUUGGGUUCCUAGUUUACUCUUUGUAUUUAGGAAAAUUUCAACCAAGCCAUCUCAUUGAUUUGGAAAGCAUAUAUUUAAUUUCAUUAUAUAUAUAUAUAUAUAUAAAAGAAAGCCACCCUGGUACACAUAGACAAUUAUGUCUGGAAUUGAGAUGGAUAAAUUUCUAAUCUUAGUCUAGUAGUAAAAACUUGGAAGUGGGGGUUUACUCUCAAAUUUAAACUUUGUGAUUGCUAAUAUAAUAAUCAUUGGAGUCUUACAUGGUCGUUAAUUUCAAAGCCUAUAGAAUUAGUCAAGGUACGCGUAAACUAGCCUGGAUAUCCAUAUUAAUAAUAAUAAAAAAAUUAGCAAAUUUCUUCGUCUUGAAAUCUAAUAAUGCAUCGUGAUAUAAAAUUUUAGCCCCCUUUGUAGACCAGGUAAUUUCCCACUUCAAAACACUAAAAUUCCUCUUGUUCUUUUAUUUUUGUUUUUAUUUCUAUAUAUAUUUAGGGUUUGACUAAUUAUAUACUUGAAGAUGCUUUUCAUUCUUGCUUCCAUUGCUCUAUAUAUAUAUAUAUAUAUAUAUAUAUAUAUAUAUGUACUCCCCCAUGUAUUUCCUGAAGACAACAGAGAAUAGUUAAUUAUUUUGAUAAAGAUCAUGGCUUUAGACUUUAGUGGUUUGGUUACACACUAUCAUAACUUAGAAUUUUAAUAACAAUUGUUCCAUAGCUAUACUAACAUUUAAGUAAAAUAUCAUUUGUGUGUGUGUGUCACCGCACGAUUGCUGAUAAAAAAAUACCGCAAAAGAUAUAUAGUAACGGUGAUUAUGAAAUGCUAUUAUAGUGUGUGUGUGUAUUAUUUUAUUUAUUUAAGUAAAUGUUUUAAAUAAAUAAUAUUAAAAGUUAAUUUUGUUGUCGUGUUCUAUAUUAGAGAUUAGAGUAGGUUGUGAAGUUAAUUUUCAACCAUAGGCAAAUUAAAACGAUGACUUCUACCCAUUCUUUUCUUCGUUUCAAUUUAAUUUUGUGGGCCUGCUUCAUGUGGUUUUAUACGGACUCUACCGAUUAUAUUAUUUCAUGUCAUUGCACCAACUAACAAUUUUAUUUUUUUUCACGGUCAGGAUAUUUUUAUAGAUAGCCUUUAUCAUUAAUACUAAGUUCUUUUUCCGAUUUGAUUGAAAGAAUUGACUAUCUACCCGUAAUUAUGAUAACGAAAUUCACUGCACUUAUUAAUCAAAUUUCAUGCACGUUGUAAUUAAUUCUUUUAUGAUCGGCAGCUUAUUCCAUCAAGCAAAACUAUUGAAGGCAUUGCUUAAACUUUUUUUAUUAUUAUUAACACAUUAACACGGGUGUUUAGCCAAUAAAUCUCAAUUAAUUUUACAGGUUCUGAAAUUAAUUAUCAUAUAAGCCUCUAGUAAUUUUAAGAUUUGUGGGAUUCGAACUAAUAACCUUUAAAAAAUUCAAAAUCUUAGUAAAAUCAAUAAAAAGAAUCAAUGCAUGGAAAUUAAAAACCUUAAUCGAACAAUGAAUCAAGGAGUCAAAGACUGCUCCUAUAUGUAUUGAUAAACUCUACAAUUCCAUGGUGGAUCGAGCUGCACUGGCACUGUGAACUCUAGAAACUAUAAAGUGCUUAAUUAUGUGAGCAUGACUUUAAUUAGACAUAAAACUAUUAAAAAAAAUUCCAUAUAUAUUAGAAAAGUUAAAAUAUUAAAAUAGAUUAUUUAUAGAUUCAUUCUUUUUAUCCAUCAAACUUUUUCAAUAUUUCUUCUCAAAAAAAUCAAAAUAUUAAUAUUAAAUAUAUUAAAAUACAAUUGAGUAGUUAAAAUAACUCUUUUUUUUCAUUGAAAAUUCCAAGUAUUUUGAAUUAUCUUGUAUUGAAAUUGUCAUAUUUUUCAAUAAAAGGAAAAACUUUUCUUAAUUAUCAAAUAUAUCCCUCUACUGAACCAAAUUAACUUAUCAAUACAAAAGUGAUACUUCAAUAUUACGGACUGAGAUACUCUCAACAUCAGCACCGUUGGCAUUAUUCUGCGUAUAAAUCAAGUAAUUAACAGUAAUAAUCAUAAAUGUCAAUAUUUAUCAUUAGCAGCCUUUUCUUUUUCCUGCCUUCGAAUUGUUAAUAGCAUUUAACACAUUUACUUUAGGUGAAAAACGAAUGUAUACGGCGGUUUUCAUGUUUUGAAUGUAUUCGGCGUUUUUCAUGUUUUGAAUGUAUUCGUGAAUCUUUGGUGCUGUAAUAAAGAUUAAUUUUUAAAAUAUUUUUUAUUUAAAAAUAUAUUAAAAUAAUAUUUUUUUUAUUUUUUAAAAUUUAUUUUUGACAUAGUAUAUUAAAAAAAUUAAUUUAAAAAAAUAAAAAAAAUAAUUUAUUUCAAAAGUGGUUUUGAAAUGUAAAAACAAACAGGUUUUUUUUAAAUAUUAAAAAAAUAAAAAAUAAAUAAAAACUAUGUAGUUUUGUUUAAAAAAUAAAAAGUUAUAUUAGGUUUUGAUUGGCUUGGAUUUUAUUAAAUUAAUUUUCAUCUAAUUUAAUUUAAAACUCAACGUAAAUCAAAUAUUAAGGAUAGAAGGUAUUUUUAAAUAUGCUUUUUGUUUGGAAAUGCAUUAAAAAGAUAUAUAUUUUUAUUUUUAAAAUUUAUUUUUAAUAUAAUUAACACAUCAAAAUAAUUUCAAAACAUUAAAAAAAUAAUUUAAAGUUAAAAAAAUUAAAAACAUAAUCAUACUGUAAUACUAAACUGAAACUUAAUGAACUGAUAACUACAUUAACAAGAAGACUAACAAGUAAGAACGUGUUUGGCAGUGUGGUUGCGGGUGCUUUUCAAAUAACUUUUCGUGCCAAAAUGUAUGUCAAUAAUGUUUUUUUAUUUUUUAAAAAUUAUUUUUGAUAUCAGCAUAUCAAAACGAUCCAAAACAUAUAAAUCAUAUUAAAUUUUAAUAAAAUUUUUAUUUAAAUUUUUUGGAAACGCGGGUUAAACCGCGUUCCCAAACGCUUCCUCAAGUGAAUAACACUCCAAACAUUGUUUCAAAAAGACAAAAAUACUUGACUCGUCUUUCUUUUCAAAAUUAAUAGGGCUGGGAAAAGUGACAGGAAGAGAAAAUGAUAGCUUGCUGACUUUCAGACUUUAAACAGUAACAUUAUAAUUGAUGAUAGCUUAAUGUAGUGGGAUUAAUAGAUUAGCAAUAUUGUAGAUUGUUUUUUUAAAUAUUUUUUAUUUGAAAAUUUAUUAAAAUAAUAUUUUUUGUUUUUAAUAUUAGUAUAUUAAAAUAAUUUAAAAUAAUUUAAAAAUAUUUAAAACUAAAAUAAUAUAUCUUUCAAAAAUAUCUUCUAAUGUAAUCCCAAACACCGCCCUUGAAUUAUACAUCUGUAUGGGGACCAAUUCGGAUUUCAUAAGAGAUUUGAAUAGAAAGAACUUUGAAAUCUUCAAUAUGUAAGACGAAUUGUAAACUUCGAAACAUAUAUAUUAUGAUUAAAAAAUAUAAAAUCCCAUGUCAUAUUGAGAGCAUAUUUUACAGCGUGAUAAAUAUUAUUUUUUAAAAUUUUUAAUUUUUAAUUUUAAUAUAUUAAAACGAUAAAAAACUAAAAAAAUAUAAUUUUUAAAAAAUACUGUUCAACUACAAUCCAAAUAUAUAUAUAUAUAUAUACACACACACACCUAACUUUUCCUGGGCCCGCCAAAGAAAAGACUCAUCUUCUUUGUAAAUAUUUUGAAUUUUAUUUUUCCUGUACAUGCUUAUUGGAUAUAUAAAAUUCCUCCAAAACUUAUUAUAUUUACAUUGAUAUUAAUAUUAUAUAAAAAAUUAAUAUAUAAAAUUUUUCAAUGACCCAUUAUAUUUUCAUCAAUAUUAAUGUUAUAUAAAAAUUAUCGUGUAAACGUUUUUUAAGAACCUAUCAUAUUUUUAUUUACAUUAAUUCAUAUAUCAGAGAUAUUUUUUCUCAUUAAUAUAUAUGUUAGGAAUAUUUCUCAUCAAUAAAUAUUAUUGAAGUAUUAACUUAAUUAUUGAAGAGUUUCUAAAUUCAUUAAAGAGAAUUUUUUACAAGUGUUAAGCAUCCGUCUCUAACGAUCAUGACCAGAAAAAAUAAAUCAGAUUAUCAAAACUAAAAAAUUAAUUGAUUAUUUAAUAUUUAAACUUUAUAUCUAAUUUAAAACUAAAAAUUCAAAAUUUUAAAAAAUACUAUUAUUCAAAAAAUUAACUAAUUUUUUACAACAUUGUCAAAUUCUAAACUUCAAUAUGUAUUCAAAUACUAGAAAAUAUUGUCCCACAGCGGUCAAUAUUUAAUUUAGUUUAGUAUUGUCUUUUAUAGCAACGCUAAAAGAUAGCUAGAUAUUUAUGCAUUUUGAUUUUUUAAAAAGGAAUUAUUCAUUAUAUUUAAAGUUAUACUUUUUUUACUAAAAAUAAAACCAAUGGAUAAUCUCUUAAAAAUAUGUACCAACAAAACUAAAUUAUCAUAAAAACUGACGUGUCAAUUUGUGAGUGGUAAAAUGUGAAUUUAAUAAAUUUAAAUAGUUGAUUUUUUAUGAUAAAAGUUGCCACAUAUGCUUUCAUGAAAAUUUUAUAUAAAAAACUAUUUUUUAAAUAAUUAUUACUCUAAAUUUUAUAAUAGAUGUUAUAUUUAUUUAUGUUAAAAAAACAGACAAAUUAAUUAUUAAGAACACUACCUUGGAUGUAACUUAUAGUAUCUCUCAAAUAAACACACAAAUUAAUUUUGAGGUCUGCCAUGCUUUCCAUCAGUUGGUUAGAGUAUUUUGGCAUUGCACAGUAAACAUAGAAUAAAAAAGAAUUCAAGAUAGCUUCGGCACGAAUAUUGAACUCAGUCAUGAAAAGCAUCUACUCAUUAAUUUUGGCAGCUGAAAUUGUUGACCUGGUAGCCUAGUUAGAGUUUCAAGAAAAGCUAGUAAGCCAAAUAUCUUUGAAAUGGGAGUGAGUCAACUAUGACGAGCGUACUAAAAUUGAUCAAUCAAAAAAUAUGAGAACGGACCGAGUCACUCAGUGAGUGACCAUUAUCCUUAAUUUCAAGAAAAUCUAAGUGCACGGGGCAGUGGUAAAAGUUUGGGAUCAAGAAGUUUGCUCCUCCUGUAGUCUCAGGUUCGAGCCAUGUGGUUGCUAAUAUGAUGGUCACUGAAGGUUUACAUGAUCAUUAAUUUUAGAACUCGUGAGAUUAGUCAAGAUUUGUAUAAGCUGGCUUAGAUACCGAAUAAAAAAAAUCUAGUGCAAAGAAUUAAUUACGUUAUUUAUUUAUUUGAAUGCCACCAAACUUGAAUGCAAGUCAACUAAAUAAGGAAAAGAAUUUUCUUUAUUUAUAUACGUGUACAUUAAAAAAACUUAAAUUGAGGCAAAAGUCAAACCCAUGAUUUGAAUUCGAGAGAGGAAAAAAUCAAAAGAGUCUAGUCUUCCUCCAUCACUACAGACAUUAGCUGACAUGAUUGGGCUUCUAUUAUUGUUUGCCCAAUUCUUCCAAAUUCUUAUAAAUAAAAAAGCAACCUUAUUUUGCCCCCCUUUCUUUUAAGCUGACUGUGACUAUGUGAGUUAAUUGAUAUCCCUAAGCCAUCAUACAAAUCGAAACUAAAUUUACUUUUUAAAUGGGUUAAAAACAAUUUAUUUAUAUUUAUCGAGAAUUAAAUUCUCUUAGCAUUAUUUGAGAUUAUCAAAAUUUCUCAAUGCUACCAAGUUUACAAUAGCUAUAUCAAUUUUAAAUUAAUUUAUAAUUGUUGAGUUAAAAUAUUUGGUUAAGAUUUUAUAAAUAGAAAAAAUCUGAUUAAAUAAAAUAGGUUUAGCAAACACGUUAAACUCAAAAAAUUUAGGCUUGGUUAGCCUGAGUCUGACAUAUAAGUCAGAUCCAAAAAGCUUGGACUUGGUAGUUAUAUAACGUGGAUCUGACAAACAUGACAGAUCUAAAAAAGUUUGGACUUGGUAGUCAGCCAAGCCCAAGAUAGAGUGGGUCUGACAAACAUGUCAGCCCCAAAGAGCUUGAACUUGAUAGUCAGCUAAGCCCAAUGAAACGUAGGUCUGGAAAAUAUGUCAGACCUAAAGCAUUUGGAUUCAACCAUUACCAAGUUUUAAGGCUAUGUGCCUGAUCCUAGAUGAUCUUCUAAAAUAAAAGUAUUGAAGGUAUGAUAAAUUAUCAUGCCUCUAUAUCUAGAAUAAUCAUUUGUAUUGAUGUAAUGAUUUUCCUUUAUUUAUAAAUGAAUACAAAGUCUCUUAAGAAACCUAUCAUACAUACUGUCUCAUUAAUAUAUGUAAGAGAUAUUUGUCUCUCAUUAAUACUGCCGAAAGCAGAGGAAUUUCCAGUCUUUUCUUUCUCUGAAAACGACAAGGUUCAAGGGUAUAAAUACCUCUUGAACUAUCCAGGUAAGGGUUCAUAACUUUUAAUCUUGUAAGAUAAAUUCUUACAGAUUGUAGAGCAUUAACCCAUUUAAAAUUCAAGAACAAAAAUCUUUGUUCCUUGAAUUUAAAAAUCUUUUAAGACAUUUAUUGUUUUUCUUAAAUAUAUUGACUUUAUCAUUUGAGGGUCUUUAAACUACUCUAUUAGGACUGUCUUUGUAGGUACUCAAGUAUUUGAACAUAUUAAUUAACCACUAUCCAAAACACUAAAUAACUUGUUAUUUACAUAUCUUGAAUUUUGGAACAUCAUUAGUGGCGCUGUCUGUGGAAACAUUUACAAAAAGUCAUAUAUAACUUUAUUGUUUAAUAGUUUUUCCCUAAUUAUCAUUAUCAAUGGCAAAUAAUCAGGACACUCUUGGAAUAUGAUGAAUUAUUAAUCUCUCUGCCAAUACAAAUACUCCAAUCCCCACACAACCAAUCCUUCAAUAACUUAUAGAACAUAUACAACUCCUUAAAAGCCCAAGUAUUCAAUACAUUAUACACUUAAGAAAAUAACAAAAACAAACCCUAAAGGAACCUACAUCUCCGUGUCAGGUUCCUGGGCCAAAUAAACUAAACUUAUGGCUAAAACAACUCUAAUUAGGAAGACAUCAAUGAAAUAUAGGACUUGGCCAUCUAGAAAACUCUCACUAAAGUCAACUUGUAUCCCUCUAGACAGGUUAAAGAAAUACAAGUUUGACAUGGUCAAGAAGAGCUUAUCCCCUAUUGUCUUCGUUAGAGACAUAGACUCCUCAUAUUCAGAAUAAAAAGCUUGGGAAUAAUUCUUCAAGUUUUCCAUUCUUGUACGAGAGUUUUGAACCUCCUCUCUACCUAUCCUCAGCUCCUCUUUUAACGUCUUCCUUGUCCCUUUAAGCUCAACCACCUCUUUCUUCAAGUUAUUCGUCCCUCUCUCUAAGAAGUCAAUAUAGAUGUAUGCCUUUACCAGCUUUUGCUCAAUUGACUCUAAGACGUAGGUCUAGGCUUCCAUAUGUCCUUAUAGCUUGGAGUAAGCAGUCUUGAGAGAGUUCAUCUCAAUAUCCUGAGCAACCUUUUCUUUUCAAAGUCUGCAUACUUCAAACUUAUUAAUACGAUACUGCUUAAUGAACUCCUUCAUGGCUCUUUUCUCAUUAGCCUAUCUACUCUUGAAGUGGGCACACAUUAUAAAAGUCUAAACAACAAAAGAGAUAAGAUAAGUUACUUUUAAAAUAGCAUAAAAAAUUUAGUUUGCUAUCUUACCUAAAAAGCCAUGUGUCCAAUAAUAGCCAAAUGACACUGAAAGCUCAGGUCAGCUAGUCCUUCCACAUCAGAAUGAAAAAUGAGGAGUUUUUCCAAUGUCUCAAUCACAUCCAACCCAUCAAGUCCCAGCGUGGACCUUCCCUAGAGAAUAGUCUCCAUUAUCCUCCUCUCUACCUCACUUAAAGUGGGGAAAUAAAUAGGGACGUGAUCCAACUUGAGAUUAGAGAAGAUAUCCUCUAUCCUGGGGGGUGAAUGAGCUUGAUUGGAAGACCCAGAAACACUAUAUAAAAGAGGAAUAAUCUCCACAUCAGAAUCUGAUAGGAUGGAGACUCUCCUUUUUUUUCCUUGGCAAAACGGCUUUUAGAAUGACUAAGUUUGGUGUUGGCAUCUUGAGGCCUCCCGAUAGGAGAGAGAGAGAGACCCUUAUGCUGCCUCUUGAUAUACCUCAUCAGUAGGAAGGUCAGUUAUAAGGAUGUAUUCAGGAACAUCCUCAGCUUGGACAGUGGAAUUCUCCUCAUUUGAAUGGAAGACCUAAGUCUUCGUCUUUGCAUCAAUAGUUGAUUGUCUUCAGAAGAAGAACCGUUACUCAAAGAGAGCAUAGACAUGUGACUAGGCAUGAAGGGAUAUACCCACUAAAUUCGAUUCCAACAGUCCCAAGUAAAGACCCUACACAAAGAAACAAUUAGAGAAUGAAAGGUAUUGAAAUAAAAAAAUAUAUGAAAAAAAUUACUCGAAUGUUAUAUUGUUUUUUAGUCAUACAACUGAUGUUAUAUUCAGUAUGAAGGUUGUUCAACCUGAUGCAAACCCUCUCCUCCUUCAGCCCCAAUAGGAGCUUGUCAUUUACACCCACUAGGGGUGUCCUCCAAUAAUAGGUAUAGCCCCAAAUUGGCUAUACCCAUCCUGAGGUCUGGCUAGGCCAUCAAACCUCAUUAUAAACCAUUGCUCCUUUAAUUUUUUAGAGUGGGUGGACUUUCCCCUCGUGGUAUUCUUUAUUGGCCCAUUUCAUCUAUUGAUGAAAGUAAAAAAAGCAAGGGAUUGAAGGUCUUCCUUUAGUGCUACUAAUCAAGGUAUAACACUGCCUAAAUACCCUGACUGUAGGCUCCUCAUUUAAAGUCCUCAAUAACUUUUCAAAUAAGAACAAAAUGGUCUAUCCAUUAGGAUGAAUUUGAGCAUGACUAAGGUUGUAGUACCUCAGAAUAUCCCUUAUAAAUACUUGUAAAGAAAACAAGCAUCCAAACUCGUAUAAGCAUAGGGGGUAGUAAUUAUAACAUCACCCUCAACAUAUUUGUUGGUGAUCUAGGAAAUAUGGUCACUAGCUUUAGGAAUGACCACUUUAUAAUCUCCUAGCUGACUAGCAUUGGCUAGGGUUACUUGGUCCCAAGUCACCGAAUUUUAUGCAUCAUCAGCAAGAGUCCUAGGCAAUCUCAGUUGUCCUAUUAGGUUUGAAACCUCAUGAGGAACGUCUCUAUCCCUUCUUCUAGUAAAAAAAGGUUGAGCAUAGUCACUCUUAGAUCUAUGGCCAAUCCUUAUGGUUGAAGAUCUUUAACGAGCGGUUUUAGUUUCAGGUCUGAAAUUGAAAUCACCUUCAGGAGAUAUGUUUCCUUUCCCUUUUCUAAAAGUCAUAAUGGUAUAAGGAAGAAGAGAUUGAAAGAGGGUUUAAAUAAGUGCAAGAGAAGAAAAUCUGGUUUACCUAGUCAAAGAAAUCCCCUCGGCUGUACAAUUGCUCUUUUAUUGUGAAAAAUUGAAAUUUCUAAGUCAGGGAAUACUGGAAAAAAAUGAUUUGUAAAAGUAAUAAAAGGGAGAGAAGAUAUGAAUGAAUGACAGAUGACAUCUCAUCUAUAACCAUAGAAGGGCCAGAAGCCUGCAAUAUUUAUUGUGUGUCGUCGAGUGGUCUUCCCAAAAUAUUUUUGCUUCAUUUUCCAUAGAAACUCUUUUAAAUCAAUCAACAACGCCUCUUCACAAAGGAAGAAAAGACAUGUACUAACCAGCUAUCUCUCUAAAAAUUUCUUAAGUCUUUAAUAUAAGAUUACAUAUUAAAGGCUUGGGGGCAACUGAUGAGUUAAAAUAUUUGGUUAAGAUUUUUAUAAAUAGAAUAAAUCUUAACCAAAUAAAAUAGGUUUGACAAAUAUGUCAGACCCAAAAAACUUAGGCUUGACAGUCGACCAAGCCCAAGGUAGCCUGGGUCUAGAAACAAGCCAGAUCCAAAGGACUUGGGCUUGGUAGUCAGCCAUGCUCAAUAUAGCGUGGGUCUGGCAAACACGGCAGAUUCAAAGAGCUUGGAUUUGGUAAUCAGCCAAGCCCAAGAUAACACGAGUUUGGAAAACAUGUCAGACUCAAAGAGCCUGAACUUGAUAGUCAGCUAAAUCCAAGAUAGUACGGGUCUCCCAAACACGCCAGAUCCAAAGAACUUGGGCUUGGCAGUCAGCCAAGCCCAAGGCAGUGUGAGUUUGGAAAACAUGCCAGACCCAAAGCAUUUAGAUUCAACCAUUACCAAGUUUUAAGACUAUGUGUCUGAUCUUAGACGAUCCCCUAAAAUAAAAGUAUUGAAGGUAUGAUAAAUUACUAUGUUUUUCCAUCUAAAAUAAUCAUUCGUAUUGAUGUAAUUGUUUCCAUCCUUAUUGUCUCAUUAAUAUAUGUAAGUGAUAUUUGUUUCUCAUUAAUUCCGCCGAAAGUAGAGGACUUUCCAGUCCUUUCUUUAGUUGAAAACGACAAGGUUUGGGAGGUAUAAAUACCUCCUGAACCAUCCAGGUAAGAGUUUAUAACUUUUUAUCUUAUAAGAUAAACUCUUAUAGAUUUCAGAGCAUUAACCCACUUAAAACUCAAGAAUAAACAUCUUUAUUCCUUGAAUUUAAGGCUCUUUUAUGACAUUUAUUGUCUUUCCCAUAUAUAUUGAUUUUAUCAUCAAAGGAUUUUUAAGUCCCCCGAUUAGAACUGUCUUUGCAUGUGCUUAAGCUUUUACCAUAAAUAUGAAAUUAUUGAAAUUAAAAAGAUAAAAUCUAAGUACUUGAACAUAUUGAUAAACCUUAAUCUAAAACAUUAAAUAACCUGUUAUUUACAUAUCUUAGAUGUUGAAACAUAAUCAAUAACAUGUCAAAAUUGAUGAAAAUUUAACAUUUAGUUAUACUGUACUCAUAGUUGUAAGCUCAAUUCCACUUAAAUAAAAUGAAAAGAUAAAAUACAUCUCUUUCACAAAUCUAAAGUCUCUAUUUCAAAUAGAAUUCACCAAGAACAUACCUAAAGUAAAUGUAUGUUUUAAGCGGAGCAUUAAUAAAAUUUGAGAAAGGAAAACAAAAUAGCCAGUUUAUGUAAUUAAACCAAUCUACAGGGAUUAGGAGAUUUAAAAAUACAUAAUAGUUUAAGUGGGUACAUAUGAAAUUAUUUAUAUUCGAUUUUCCUGUUUAAUUCCACUCUCUUUUUCUUUCACAACUAUUAAACUCAAUUUGUAGUGGAUUUUAUAGAAGAUUCGGUUUAUGAAUUCAGCAUACUAGCCCAAAUUAAUCCAAAUUAAUUAGUUUUUAAGUUAAAAUAACAUUAUAUUAAUUUUUUUCUAAAUCAAAUAAAAUUUUAACCAUAACAUAAAUUCACCAUGUCAAAUUAGUUAAUAUCCGAGUCUUGAGUUGACUCAUCGCUUUUUCUUCGUAUCGUAAAUGACGGGAAAAUGAAUGUUCAGCGAAACAAGCUUCUAUGUGUACACAAUCUUCAACUUGUUUAACCAAACGUGAUUCAAAUGGACGGAAACCAAUCACAAACGAGUACGAGAAAACUUUUACAUGAUAUCUGGAAACCAAUCACAAACGAGUACGAGAAACCAAUCACAAUCUUCUUCCACUUUGACGAGAAAGUUCAACGUUUUCUGUUUAAUCUGGAAGGAUGUGCAUCGGGAAAAGUUCACGUGAGAUGAUUGCUGUCCAACCAGCUUAUCGGAAGCAUAGGAGAAGGAGUUCCUGUUUCGACAUUUUAAAAACAUUUUUAAAAAAAUUAAAUUUUUUUAAUAUUUUUAGAUCAUUCAUGUUCUGAUAUUAAAAAAAAUUAAAAAUAAAUAAAUUAUUUUAAUAUAUUUUAAAAUAAAAAUAACCUAAAAUCUACUUGUACAUGGAAAUUAACGGAAACGAAAGCAACGAAAGGCAUACUAGUAUGCGUAAGUUUUGCAAAUCACAGGAACUACGACAAAGAUUUAUUUCUUUAAGAAAGUACACGGCAAAAUCAUUGAUGUAAAAUAAGUUAGAUAUGGAGUUAGUUUAUUUUUGUAUUUUAAAAGUAUUUUUAAAAUAUUUUAUUUUAUUUUUUAAAAUUAUUUUAUUUUAUUUUGAAAUUGUUUUAAUAUGUUUAUAUCAAAAAUAUAUUUUAAAAAAUAAAAAAAUUAUUUUAAUAUUUUUUUAAGUAAAAAAUACUUUGCACUAUUACUAUGACAUCACCUUCAACAUCUUUAACAUUAUUUCUAACUACGUUCUUAAAGUGUUUCUUGGAGAAUAUAUAUAUAUCAUGCUAGAUAAAAUGGAAGUAGCCGUUCCCUGAUUUGAAUAUAAUCUCUUUUUAGAAGAAAUUUCAGGUUUGAUCUUUAGUGAUAUUGUAUGGUUCUUGAGAGUUUUUGUGAUGUAAGAUGGGUUUUGUCAAAGGCUCAAGAUCUAAGGCCGACAUUGAUCUCUCUGAUGACUGGUUCACGCAUUUAUUGAUUUGCUUCUUAAUACAAAAAUAGGUGCUUCACUUGUGUUUUCAUGAUUUCGAGAAUUUUUUAGCUAAAACCUGCUUUUUGAUUGAUUUCUGGACAAAAUAGGUUCAAAAAUCUGCUUCACUCUCCACCCACUAUUUUCCUUUUUUUCUUUAAUUGGGCUUGAUUCAAAAAUUGCUUUGUAAAACAAAUGUGGUUCCCAUGCAUGCAUUUUGAAAAUAAAAGUGGAAUGUUCAUGAGCUUUUCUUGAGUUCUAAAGAAUGAAAAUGAGGUCUGCAUAUUGAUGCAUUUCUGAUUCAUAAAAAUGCUAACGUGAAAUGUAUGGUUCCAACUCACGGGUUCAAGGAGAAAGUAGAUGACUAUCUGCAUAGUCCACCUAUCAAGUUACCCUUCUCCAAAUCAAGAAUCUUAAUUAUCUUAAGGCUUGUUUGUUUGUUUGCAGGAAUGUAGUUUUUUAAUUUAAAGUGAUUUUAUUGAAAAAUAAAUUCCUAAAAAGUAAAUUAUUUUUUAAUAUUUGAUAAUAUCAUGGAAAAUAAAUUGAAAAACACUUUUCAAUAUUUAACUAUAUCAUAAAAAAUGAGCUAGAAAAUAAGUUGUUAAUAUUUUUUUUUCAAAUUUAUUAAAAUAAUGAAGAGCAAAUCUUACAAAUUAAAAAGUUGAAUGAGAAUAAAAUUGAAAAAAAAUCUAAUUUCAUAAAUUAUCUCAAAUAAAAUAAAUAACAAUCAAAAUAAUAGAGAUCAAAUCUAACAGAUAAAAAAGUUAAAAGAUGAUGAAAUUAAAAAAAAUUACAAUUUCAUAAAUUAUUUCAAAUAAAAUAAAUAACAAUAAAAAAAAUGAGGAUCAAAUCUGAUUGAUAAAAAAUUUUAGUUAAGAAAAUGAUAAGAGAAAAGCAAAUAACAAUAAUAAAAAUGAGGAUCAAAAUUGAUAUAAAAAUCAAAUUCUAAGGGAUGAAAUUGAAAAAAAAAAAUCAAAACAAAAUAUACAGCAAUCAAAAGUUUGAGGAGCAAAUUUGAUAUAAUCAGCAAAUAACAUGACAUUUUUAAAUUUUUUACAACUUCUGGAAAGUAUUUUCCGCUCAAAAUAAAAGCAAAAUAUUUUUCUGAAAAUCAAGUUAAAUUUUUCUUUGACUGGAAAGUGUUUUUCGUUGAUCAACUUUUUUAAUGACAAACAAAUAAAGAAAGUUUGGAAAAUAAUUUCUAGAAAAACCACUUUUCGUAAACAAACGAGAUCUAAGUGAUAUUUUCCAUUAUAAAUGUACGACAACUCCAAUUUAUAUUAAAAAAAAAAAAAACAAAUUGGUUGUGGAUUAUAUUAAAAUAAAUAACAAGACCGGGCUAUGACUGGAACCUUAAACAUCUCAAGUCUUUAUAUAUAUAAACUCCAAUAGUUAUAUUAAUAUAUAUAUAUAAACUCCAAUAGUUAGAUUAAAAUCCACUCUCCUCAGUAGCGUUUUAUCAAACAUCUUGAACCAAACAUAACUCCUCAUUUAUGAUGAUUAAUAUGCUGUGUAAAGGAAGGGAAAUUGAAGGAGUUCAUCGGAUACUUUAUGAUGAUUAAGCAUUGUUGAGUUCCAAGUUGAGGCAGGAAUUAAAUUUAUAAAUGAAACCUCUUAAACUUUCUUCUAAGCUUCUUCCUAAAUGGUGUUAAAAACCAAUCUCGUUCGUCACAGAAAUAUUUCAAAUGGAGACACAGAAAAGUCAACCAGAAAAACAGCAAUCAUCUGCAUCCCUGGAUCCUGCUGUCACUUCAUGUCGUAAAAAGAAGAGGGACGAUGCCACUUUUUUGGAGGAUGUGAAGGAUCACAUCGAUGAGUUCAUUCAUGCGUCUAUGGAUGAGCACAAGUCUUGUUUUACGAAGACAAUCAAGAAGGUUUAUUCCCACUUUUAAGUUGAAUGUUUAAUUGCUAAUUGCCAAGUACCAACUGACAAAUUUAUUGUGUAAAUCUCCGAGUGCGUGUGAACUGGUAGCUGACCUAACACUUGGUUUAUUUUCAGAUGUUUGGAAUGUCAGACUGUUGCUGAGAGGAGUGCUGAUGCGAAGGAAGUUGAAAGUUCUCUGCCUCUCCGAACUGUAGUGGCAGAGUAGAAUGUCUUCUCCCGUACUGUAAAUUUGUAAUAGCUCAUGAUGCUAGUUUGAGUUAUGGUUUAGAAAUUUGUCAUAGAAGAGUUGCGACAUCAGUAUUUAGUGCAGCUUGUUAAUUUCACAUUACUCUGUUCAGUUUUGACUUUUGAAGUUCGAAUUCUACGAGGACACCAUCUUAGGACUUUUUAUUUCAUCCGCCCCCUCAAAGGGGUUUUCCCAACUCGGAAGAGCGAACCCUUCAAAUAGUGCUUCUUUAUGGGUUUCUCUGUUUUUAUCAAGACAAACCAGUUCCAGUCUUGUUGCCUUAGUUUCCUUUCCUUUCAUUCUCUCUCUCAAUUCUUAUUAGACACAUCACCGUUUCCCUCUAAAAUCAUGGGAGUUUUACUUUUCAGCUCUGGGAGCCUAACCUGAAGCUUGAACCCUGAUGGUCAAGCAAGAUCAUUUCUGACCACGAUACCUAUCUCAGUUUAAUGUUUACCUCCUACUAUGAUAAUUAUGGAUAUGACUCAGCUGUAAGUAGCAGUCUAAUUGAGCAGGGCUUGUACUUCGGGCUACUUAGAAUUUCAAGUCGCUCCGAAUAGAGCUCGUGCACAAGCAAGCAAAACAGGUGCUACCAUCAAAAUGGAAAAAAUCAGGCAAAGGUUUGAGGAAAAAUGAAUAGGGAACAAAAGAAUACUAGUGAAAUAGGGGAUUGGUCGGUCUGUCGAGAUGAGGUAAGGUACACCAUUCUCCAGGAAGCGAAGGACAGAACAUGUUUCUGAGCUUUGUGAAAAAAUGUGGAACUCUGAUUAGUUUCUUCGGACAGCCCACAAUUGGAUACAAAAUUGAGAAUACUAUCACUGAGUUGUUUUUGAUAAACGAAACAAUCGGUUCAUUAAAUAAAUAAAAAAACAAAUUAAAAAAAAACAAUUAAAAAUUAGAAGAUUGAUGAAUAGAGGAGCAUAAAAACAGAAGAUAAAAAAGAAGAGAAGAGAAUUAGUAAACCUUCAGAUGUGUAAUCAUCACAAGGCUCAAAAGGGAGUCGAUAACAAGUAACUGCAGAGAGAGAGGUAUGAAGAUGAAAGACGAGCAGUAAACGAGUUUCGAUUCAGAUUGAAAACUAAUAUAUAAUUUAAACAAAGGGCAUCAUGAUUAUCCCCUCAGGCUUUCGUUUCCACAUGUUUCUCUUCUUGCCGCUUCCAGUCUUUCUCUUACAUAUCCUCUCUCUCGCACACCACUGCGGUCGCUCCCUUUCUUAUCUAUCAGGUAAGGAAGACGGAGCCCGUCUUCUUUAUAUCGUUAGGGUUUUGGGAUUUUCGGUUUUCUCCUCUUCUUUCAAUUUUUACCCCCAACAUAGACGGGGUUGGUACUUGGUGGAG